CCCAAGCUGAAUUUUGACGUAAUUUCUCUUGAUGUAGCUAGCAGGUGGCAGAGGUGUAUUUGAAAGUCAGCAGCAUCCUAACAGCGAUUAGAAUGUCCUUCGUCUGCUAGUCUUCUUGAUUCUUAAAUUCUGUGGAGCUCAAAUAGACAACAAAGCUUGUGGAACUGAUUAAGUGUUAGCGUAAAUAUCUAGCCUUUAUCAUGUUGAGACUCCUUAAUAAAUAUUACUCCCUGUUUUUAUAUUUUCGUUUUAUAAAGCAGAAAAAUAUUUAUUUUAUUUUUAUGCCACCACAGUGAAUGUACUUAUGGGUUUCACGCCACUCGCAUACUCACAUGGGGCUUACUGUUUUUCGCAUUUUUAUUUUCUUCUUAGGAUAGUACGAACAUAAUGAACUAAGUAAACUAUUUGAAAUAAUUCAAAGGGAAAGGAUAACUACCAAGUUUACCUCUUGGCAAGGCGUUCGGUGUUUUUAAGUCCUCCGAAUGGGACUCUGCAUUUUCUCAUUCGUCCUGAGGUUCGUUGGGUGGCGUAGUCGGUACUUCCGGCAGCGCCUCCUCUUCAUGUAUAGUUAUCUUCAUUUUCCAUACCUGACUCGGUGCUUCAAUCUCCUCUGGAUAAUUCUGUUUAAACUCUACGUCUUCUGACCUUACAACUUCUCCUUCAUAGUCUGCCCAUCCGUCCUUGAUGAUUUGCCUCCUCUGGUUGCGGUUGCGUCCUUUCCUGACCUGCUUAGAUUCUUCAACGAUAUAGUUAGGGUCAGUAAAAUAACGGCGUAACUUCUCUGAGGGGAAGUGCAUAUGGACUUCUCCGGUUCCAAUGUAGAUGAUUGCUUUAAUGGUGCUGAGGAACGGUCUUCCAAGGAUGAUGGGUGGAUCGUAUUCGUCUUCUCCCAUGUCAAUAACUUGAAAGUCUGUGUAGACAAGAUGAUCGUCUAUUUUGACUGGGACAUCAAUUACUGUUCCUUUAACUUCUCGAAAUGUCUGAUCUGCCAUCUGGAGCUGAAUGUAUGUUGGUCUUAGGGGCAUGGUUCCGAACAAGUGCUGAUAGGUGACUGCGGCCAUUAUAUUGACGCCCGAUCCGGUGUCGCAAGUCGUCUUGUAGAAGUUGUAUCCAUUUAUGGAGCAAUAGAUGCUUGGCAUUCCUGGGUCGUCCUUCUUGGUCAAAAACGGUGACUUAAGUUGAUGAUCUUGGCCUCCAUGAACUGCAGUGACCAUCUUCGCUGACUCAGUCCACACUUGCUUAUUCCUAUUCCUCCUGUUGGUCCUCUUCCUUGAUUCACGUCUGGAUUGAUGUGGAAUUUGUGUAGUCUUGUUCUUGAAGAAAAAUGUCUCCUUCUUCCCUUUGACGUAGAAACUGAUCUUGGUAGCACUAGCGUAGAUGAUAGCUCCCGUGGUGUUCAAGAAUGGCCUCCCUAAGAUGAUGGGUGCCCUCUCAUCAUUUCCGGUCUCUACCACUACGAAGUCUGCUGGGGCAUACAAGGUACCAACUCGGACACAAAGGUUCUUCACUAUUCCUUUUGGAAAAGUUAUCGUCUGAUCUGCAAACUGCAAACACAUGGUUGUUUCUAAUAAAGGAUAUGUAAAGAAUUUCUCAUAGAGUACCCUGGGUAUAAUGUUGACGCUAGAGCCAAAGUCGCAGAGUGCUUCUGGAACGUCCACCAUGCCGAUGGAGAUCGGGAUGACGGGGCGUCCUGGAUCGCCUCUCUUGACCGGCAGAAGGUCAGUAGAGAAUUCAGUGAUGGGGUUACUCCAAUUACUUGUAUCAAACAUGUCUACAAGAUUUGCAGAUUCUAAUCUUUCCAGCUGUGAUGGUAUACCGGGGUUAGUAGUAGGAACAGCAGCAGCUAUUUGAUUUAACUGAGAUUCAAUCAUUUUAUUAAAGCUAAUUUGAUUCUUGAUGGCAGUAGAGAAAUUAUCCAUUCUAUUAUUUAUAUUUUCUAGUAUUUUAUCAUUAGAUGCCAAUUUCUUAGAUAGGUUAUCCAUUAGCUUUCCUUGAUUAGACACUAACUCUCUCAACGAUGGAAAAUUAUUAUUAUUGUUGUAAGAAUUGUUACCUUGAUAAUUACCUGAGUAGUUAGGCCUCUGUUGAUUCCAACCUUGAUUUUGUUGAGGACGGUUGUAGUAGUUGUUGUUAUUAUUGUUGAUGUAGUUCACACCCUCAAGCAUCUCAGGGCAGUGGUUGCCUGAGUGUCCAGUAUCUCCACACUCCUUACAAGUCAUGUGAGAGUCGUAGAUGUGCAUAACUUCUUUCUUGUCUCCAGCUCUCUCAUCGAGCUUCUUCAUGAGCAGGUCUAGCUUUGCAGACAGCAUGUCUACCUCCUUGAGCUGAUGCAUACCUCCACCUCUCUUGCGUGUCUGGGUCCUCUCUUCAUUCCAGCCUUGGUUGGACGCCAUCUUCUCCACAAGAGCUAUGGCUUGUGGUAUAGUAAGUGAUAAGAAUGCUCCUCCAGCUGCAGCAUCCAUGGUCUCUCGGGCACUGUUGCCGAGCCCAUGAUAAAACUUCUGCAUUAGUAGCCAACUCUCCAUUCCAUGAUGGGGACAUUCUAGGAUGUAGUCUUGAAAGGGCUCCCAUACUUCUGGAACAGAUUCAUCAUUUUGUUGCUGAAAACUUGUAAUCUUCCCACGGAGAGCAUUGGUCUUGCCCAUGGGAAAGAACUUAGCCAGGAAGUUUGUUGAGCAGAGUGCCCACGUAGUAUUCUUCUCCUUUGUAGCGUAGAACCACUGCUUCGCUCUUCCUAACAGUGAGAAUGGGAAGAGACGAAGUAGUAUAGCAUCUUUGGAAACUCCUGAUAUGGUGAAUCUGUUGCAAAUCUCUAGGAAGUGUUGGAGAUGAGCACUAGCAUCUUCAUGUGCCUUCCCACAGAACUGGUUGGAUUGCACCAUGUUGAUAAGUCCAGGCUUGAGCUCAAAGUUGCCAUCGAUCUCUGCAGCUGGUCCAGUGCGGAUGUUGUCCGUAGUGGGAGCUGAGAACUCGCGGAUUGAUUUAUUCGCCAUGGUUUCGAACUCUGAAGACAAGUUCCGGUGAUCUUCUUGAUUGAAUGAAGCUUCUUGCUGAAGUGUUGAUGAUCUUUUCUUGAGCUUGGCUCUUGUUUUUCUGAAUAAUGCUUCGGGAUUGUCAACAAAAUUUCCUGGAAGAUGUCUUCUAUUCAUACAUUCCCCUGCAUAAGAUAAAAUAGAAAAAUAUCGGGGUAAAACUGUAUGAGAGAAUAAAUAAGCUCAAUCAUAUUAGUGAUGCGAAUGAUAACUCAAAAUCCUGUAUUCCAUUCCUGAUUAGUAAUCAACCUUCCCCGGCAACGGCACCAAAAAUGCUUGUUGGGUAUUCUUAACAUCAUUACCAAAAGUAGACUAAGUUCUCUAAAUCUAGUAACGGUGGUAAAAAUGCCAAACCUAUCCCUCACACCACUUAAGCCAAGUUGUCAUCCCCAGCAUGACAUGAGAGACGCGGUAUUGAAAUAUGCAAUUGCUCUUCUAAAUAUAUAAUGAAUGGGAUCUGCAAGCGCACAGAUUAAUACCGAUGUAGCAUUUUAACCGGAAAGUAUUACAUGUAUCGUUAUUUAUAUUUUUACCACUGGGAAGGGAUUAACAAUCAUCAAUAUUGAUUACAGAAUAGAAUAUGAGAUUGAGCAUCUAUCAUUGCAUGUAUAAUUGAGAACAUUAUAUCUAACUGUCACAUAAAGGAUAUAUGAAAUAAUGAAUAGUGACAAAGAUAAUUAAUCUGAUCUAGCCACAUAAUAAAUAUGAUAAGCACCUCAAUUAGAUACUCUAGAAAGUCAUUAGCAUGGUAUUAGAACGAACUACAAGAAUAUUCCCUAAGUUAUUCUCAACUAUAUAGUCUAGCAUUAUCAUAAUUAGUGCAAGCAUACUUCUCAAUCAUUGCGAGACAAGACUACGCCCAUGCAUAGUGAUAUUAGCAAGGUAAAUGAGAAACAUAGCAAUCACUCCCCUCUAAUAAUGUUGCUCUGCCAGCCCAAUACACGAGAGGGGGACUAUAUAAGAAUCAAUGAAGCUGUCACUAUCACGAACUACCCCACGAUCUGGCAUAUUGGGUACAAUCGCAGAUAAAUACGGUAUAAGCACCAUGCCUACAAAAUAUCUAUCAUUUACCCAUGGAUCCAAUGGAUAAACGCUAUACGAUCCUAAGCAUGUAUAUAGAUCCAAUCUAACUAAGCCAAGUACAUAACUAUGAUAAACUAAGAACAAUAUAAUCUUGAAUAUAAGCAAGUAGAGCAAAGUCAUUAGCAAUAUAUUGAAGUAGAACAAAGUCAUAUUCAUAAUACUGAAGAACAAAGAUAAUUAGAAGAACAAUUAGAAGCACAAUUAGAGAAUUACCAAGAAUCCUCUUGACAGAUCCGGAAACCAAUCGAAGAUUGACUCCUUCUAGUUCUAAUCCUAUGUAGCUAUGCUAAUCUAGAUAUCUAAUUGAUGUGGUGGCUCUAAUCUUGAUCAGAGGCUUCUUCUCCCUUGAAGAAUAAUGAAUUAGGGUUGAGAGGCUCUCUCCUCCAGGGGCCAGGGAGUCUGGUUUUAUAGUCCCUUCAAGUGAAUAUGGGCCGUUGGAUCAAACCGACAUAGAUUGUAUGGUUUAGAUUCAUCCUUUAGGUCGGUGGAGAUCUCCCACGAAGCAGAGUCCUGAUUGGACUCAGGGAGAGGGUGGGCGCCCAGGGGAACAGGGCGGGCGCCCUGCCUCUGGCUUCGUUUCGUCUCCACUUCGGUCUCAAGGCUUCUGGAGUCUUCUAGAUGUAAGAUAAUUGCACGGCACGUUAAUAUCUCUAUGUAAUCCCGACGUGUGGGCCUUUCUUCUGUAUUUCCUGAUAACCCCCUGCAGAAAUAGACAAACACCAAAACUCGUGGAAUUCUGUCAGAUAAAACCCUAAGUCUAGAUGUUGAUUUCAUUUGGAUCCUUUUCUUUAUUUAUUUGAUAAUUAAAUUUGAUACUUAAGGACCGUCAACAAACUCCCCCAAGCUUACCUCUUGCUCGUCCCUGAGCAAGGAUAGACUCAGCUAUGGAUCAUAAGUUGUUGCAAUAUCUUUAAAAAUUGACGGUACACAUGCUUUUAAAUGAGGUCUCAUCUCUGAGUUAGAGUAAACUGUCAAGACUUAAAACUUACUUACUUUGCCUUUACCAUGGGACUUGUAACUGUCACUUCUGUCUUGAGUGGUUAAAAGAUAGAACAGUCUAGCCAAGUGCCAUGUCUCUUAUUCUUGAUCAGCUAUAGCUCUAGAGUUUUUUCAGAUUUUCAAAUAAAACUCAGAGAUUCCUUGUAUGAUUCUCUCAGAUCUCUCUUUUGUGGUAUUUCUGGAUCCUUACCAAGGCAGUGAUGGUAUAUGCCUUCUCUCAAGAUAUGUAGUAUUUGUGGUAUAAAGCAUAGUGACAUUGCCUUCUCUCUCACCCUACUCUAAUAAGGCUUUAAUAUCUGGAGCUCAUAGGUGGGAGAUUGUUGACACCGUUUUUGGGCACGUGUCCAUGAUCGGUAAAGUGUAGAUCGGCAAGAUAAGGCGGUGGUACUUGGUCUACAGGGAAAGUUGCCGAUGGAGAUGGUUGCCGAUGGAAGGAUGGUUGAACGUGACUAAGUCCAUAGGUGAUGAUGUGCCUGUGCCGAUGGCUGCGACAAGGGAGUUUGCCGAUGAUAUAGGGGAAGAGCCUGGGGGUUGCCGAUCGGUCUGUGGAGGUGUUCCAGUUUGUCACGGGGGGAUAAUUUUAUAUUUUCCUUAAUUAUUUAGAUCGUUCUAUAUACGGAUUCUGUGUAAUUUGGAAUUCGAGUUCUAGUCGUGUCUGGUUGUAGCUCUUUGAGCAGGGUAUAAAUGUAGACCCUAGGGCCUUGUAAUUAGACAUCUAUCAAUCAAUCAAACACAAGUUUUUACUCAUAUUCCAGCAUCUACUUUUCGGUGACUUCGUCAUAUUUUCUUUUUUAUUACGAGUUCUUAGGAAUUCAUCGACUUAAGCUCGACGUGUUCUCGAGUUCCGCGUGAGUACCUCUUGGCCGUGACAUCCGGGCGCAUCGCUGUUGUCAGGACCAAAGUAUUCGAGUUACCUUCCUUGCCGAUAGUAAGGUCAAAUCGGCUGGCACGCCUUAACGUUUGAAUCGGGUAUUAGCCCUUUGUGUUUGCAGAUCAGCUUUUGCACCAACACAUCUUUUGGCACGCCCAGUGGGACAGAUUCAAGAUCAAGAUCAACAUGUCGACCUCUGAGUUUGAUCAAGAGAACGUCAUCCCCGUGACGGAAGCCAAUCUCAAGGAUGAGCAGAAGCAAGCUAUUCCUAAAGCCAUGGAGGACUACAAGCAGCAAUGCCUGAGGUCCUUCAGCAUGAACAGGAGCGGUGAGGUGAUUCAGAAGGAUGCACUGCCGGCACCUCGGCAGGUUAGUUUUGAAGCCAAUCCUGGCAAACUUCAAGAGAUGGUUGACAGCGCUAUCAACGGUGCUUUGAUCAACCAAGCUGGCGUACUGUCUAAUACAGUUUUCAAUGCUGUGGCAAGAACUUUCAAGGAAGGACAAUUGCCACCAGAUUUAUGUGGGCCCCACUUAUCAUCAGCCAGGGUCACCGGUGGUCACAGCUCCAUCGGCUGCUACAGCCGCUGCGGGUUCACAAACUAUCGUUCCUCUAAGUACGUUGGGACUCACGAAUACACAAUCUACACCGAUGAUGACUAAUCCGCAGACUUCAGAUGGGCAGAUUAAACUCGCUACAGAUCUGUUGGCAUCGGCAAUGUCAGGAUUGACUCCUCCUCCUAACUGGUGGGGUUAUGGUAUGCCUCCAGAGUUAACGCCGGGUACAUCGCAGACAACUGACAUGAGAGGCAAGACUCCUAUGGCAUCGGCACCUCCCAAUGCGUCGGUGAACCAGAGUCCCCGGUAUACUACAACUACUACUGCAAGACCUUAUACUGGGAAUUCUCAAGCUCCAAUGUUCCAGAUGCCUAACGCAUCGGCAGACUCAAUGCUGAUGCAACAGAGGUUUACAACUCAACCAGGGUAUGACAGUUCAAUGAUCAUGCCCAAUUACCAGUCAUCGGCAGGGCCUAUGCCGAUGAACGCUAAUAAUGGAUGGCUUGGGCAGCAAGUCUUUCUGCAAACGCCCCAACAGAAUCACCAGGCUACAGGGUUCCAGCAAGGACAGGUCUAUCCUAGGUUCCAGAAUCAAGGGAUCCCUAACCAGCCAAUGAAUCUCGGGCAGCAAGUCGGUGGACAGAAAAUUGGCAGGCAACAGCUUGGUGGUCCACAGAUUGGAGGCCAGAUGAUCAACCCAAUGUUCCAUGCAGAUCGUGCACCGCACCGACACGUGGAGGCUUACCAGCAGGUGCCGGAUCCGCAACCUCCUCAUCGGCAAGAUGCCGAUGCUUAUUGGGCUGAUAAGAUUGCUGAAGUAAUGAGGGACCAAUUUGGGAUAAAACCCAAAGUCAAUACUUACUCGUAUCGGACACCGUAUCCUCCCGCAUAUGAUUUGAUCCCGCUUCCGCAUCGGUACAAGGUACCGGAUUUUACUAAGUUUUCUGGACAGGAUGACACGUCGACCAUGGAGCACGUCAAUAGGUUCAUCAUUCAAUGCGGAGAAGCUGGUAACAGGGACGAGUUGAGGGUUCGCUUAUUCUCGUCAUCGUUGUCUGGAUCGGCUUUCACCUGGUGUAUAUCGUUGCCUCCCAAUUCAGUGAUUACUUGGGCCGAUCUGGAGAAAAAAUUCCACAAAUACUUCUUUUUUGGAGUCCAUGAGAAGAAGAUCACCGAUUUGGUCAAAUUAAGGCAACGCAAUGAUGAAUCGGUUGAAAGUUUUGUGCAGAGGAUACGGGAAGUCAAGAAUAAAUGCUAUAGUCUGGUUCUGGAUGAUCGGCAGCUAGCUGAUUUGGCUUUCCAGGGUUUGUUGCCACACAUCAGGGAUAAGUAUGCCUCCCAGGAGUUUGAAAGCUUAAGUCAUUUGGUGCAGAGAAUUUCGAUCAAGAUAUCAAGCCUUUCGAGCCCAACAGAGCAUGGAACAAAAAGGUAUCGUUUGUUGAUGAAGCAACAAGCUCAGAUUCUGAUGAGGAACCAGUCAUCGGCUUGGCAGAGUGGGUAGAAAAUAAGAAGCAGAUGUCUUGUCCUUUCGAACAUAAAGAACCAGAGAAGUUCGCGUUUGACACCGCUAAGGCCGAAAGGAUAUUUGACUUUCUACUUCAGGAAGGUCAGAUCAAGCUGUCUCCUAAUCACGUGAUCCCAUCGACUGAGGAGUUAAAGAGGAUGAAAUAUUGCAAGUGGCACAAUGCAACUUCUCACGACACCAAUGAGUGCAAGGUUUUCAGACAGCAGCUGCAAUCGGCUAUAGAGUCUGGGAGAAUCAAAUUUGACAGUUCUAAGACCCAGAAGCCGAUGAAGAUCGAUCAACAUCCUUUCCCAAUGAACAUGUUGGAUGCUAAGGGAAAGGCCAAGGUCUUAACAUCGGAAGCAGCCGAAAUAAGUGCAUCAGUGGAUCCUCAGCAUCAGGUCACUACUGCCGAUGUGAGAGGAAGGGGCUUGGUACAGGAAGGAACCAGCUCAGGGAGGCCUCCCCGAUCUGGUAUUGUGAUAACCCAUAGAAGGCCUCGAGAGAAUUGGCAGCAACGAGAAGAUCGGUAUAGGCGCCAGCAAGAGGAUUAUCGUCGGGAAGAAGAGAGAUGCCGACAGGAGUGGAAUCGGCAUAGGGAUCACUGGAACUGCCCGUUCUUCAUCCAUUGUUAGGAGGAGAAUAUCAAGCUCCCUACUGUCAGAGAUUGUCCUGAAUGCAACGGUUACGAUCGGUAUGAUAGGUCCGAUCGGCGCUAUCACGACGAUAAUCGGCGAUCUAAUGGGCCGAUCAGAGGAAGAGCGUCUGUUCACGAUCGGCUGGGGGGCAGGCUCAGCGUGCACGACAGGCUUGGUGAUCGUGUUCAGUAUUUUACCAGGAACCAGGAAGAGCUCGAAGAAAUGGCUAAUGCACGGGUUCCCGAUGAGUUCAUAUUUUGCAGGGAUGCCAAUACUUAUCGGGUAGAGUCUGGGGGAGAUCGUCGCCCAGGAGCAAGGCAACAGCAGCUUCCUCCCUGGUGUCCAGAGGGGUUGACCAGGACACAGAAAAGGAGGCUGCAGCAUGAAAGGCGAGAAGGGUUAAGCAAGGGCGAGAACUCUGGCCAGUCUGGGGAUCAGCAGCAAUCAGAUCCCAAGGGGGAAGGUCCAUCGGCAGAUGUCAACAUGGUCUUUAUGUUGCCGAUGGAGUUCCUUGCGCCAUCCAGUGAUGAUGAGUUAGAGUUCUCCGACCAAAUAGCUCAAUUGUCUCUGGAUCCGAUGACAGCUAUCUUCGAGAAGCCUGCCGAUGAUGAAAGGCAACAUCUCAAGGCUCUGUUUGUCAAAGGAAGGGUUGAUGGGGAGCCGAUGACCAAGAUUCUAGUUGAUGGUGGGGCUGCUAUCAACAUCAUGCCAUAUGUAGUGUAUCAGAAGCUUGGGAAAGGGGAUCAGGAUCUAACCAAGACCGAUAUGAUGCUUAUAGACUUUGAAGGGAAUGUGUCUCCGGUCAAGGGGGCAAUAUGUGUAGAGUUGACAAUCGGCAGCAAAACCUUUCCGACAACCUUCUUUGUGAUCAGUGGAAAGGGUGCUUACAACUUGCUGUUGGGAAGAGAUUGGAUUCAUGCUAAUUGUUGCAUCCCGUCUACAAUACACCAAUGCUUGGUUCAGUGGGUAGGUGACAAGAUUGAAAUUGUCCCAGGAGAUUCUUCUUACGUCAUCGCAUCGGCAGAGGCGGAUACCUAUGAAAGGACUAGGUGUAUUUCAGGAGAGGUUUGGGAAAAAGAUUUUCUCAAGGUUGCCGAUUAUGAAAUUCCACCGAUCCAAGCAGUCGGUUCUGAGGAUGGUUUUUAAUGGAUAGGUUCGCCGAUGAUGGAAAAUUAGGCCAGGGGUUCACAUCAGCCGAUGAUUUAGUAGAAGUAGAUAUAGGUAGUGGUGAUAAACCUAGACCUACUUUUAUUAGUGCCAAGUUAGAUUGUGAGUGUAAGCAACAGUUAACUAAUUUGUUAAGGGAAUAUAAAGAUUGCUUUGCUUGGGAUUAUACUGAGAUGCCUGGUUUAGACCGAUCAAUUGUUGAACAUCGGUUGCCUAUCAAGUCUGGAUUUUGGCCACAUCAGCAGCCGGCUCGCCGAUGUAAUCCUAAUAUUCUCCCUGAUAUUAAGGCCGAGAUAACGAAACUUAUUGAAGCCAAGUUUAUUCGGCAGUGUCGGUAUGCCGAAUGGAUUUCCAAUGUUGUUCCGGUCUACAAGAAGAACGGGAAGCUUCGGGUCUGCAUUGAUUUUAGGAAUCUUAAUAGAGCUACGCCGAUGGAUGGGAACCCAAUGCUAGUUGCCGAUCUGUUGGUUGAUGCUGCGGCUGGGCAUCGGAUUAUUAGCUUUAUGGAUGGCAAUGCAGGGUACAAUCAAAUAUUCAUGGCUGAAGAAGAUAUUCCGAAGAUCGCGUUCAGGUGCCCUGGUCUUGUUGGAUUGUUUGAGUGGAUAGUCAUGACUUUUGGCCUAAAGAAUGCUGGUGCUACUUAUCAAAGGGCCAUGAAUUUUAUAUUUCAUGAGUUCAUCGGCAAGCUGGUAGAGAUUUAUAUUGAUGAUGUGGUGGUCAAGUCUGGAAACUUCAGAAAGCAUCUUGCCGAUUUACGAAAGGUGUUGGAAUGCACAAGGAAGCACGGUUUGAAAAUGAAUCCCAAUAAGUGUGCAUUUGGUGUAUCGGCAGGGCAAUUUCUUGGUUUCAUGGUGCACCAGAGGGGAAUUGAAAUCAGUCAGAGAUCUAUUGAUGCCAUCAAUAAGAUAGUAGCCCCUACCAACAAGACCGAGCUCCAAUCCUUGAUCGGCAAGGUAAAUUUUAUCAGAAGGUUCAUAUCUAACUUGUCUGGUAAAAUUUGUGCUUUCAUCCCUCUUCUUAAGUUAAAGGCCGAUCAAGAGUUUGUUUGGGGGAAGGAACAACAGUUGGCUCUAGAUGAAAUCAAGAAUUAUUUAGUAAAUCCUCCAGUUCUAAUUCCACCUCAGCAAGCGAAGCCCUUCAGAUUGUAUUUGUCUACCGAUGGGAUGGUCAUCGGUUCGGCUUUAAUUCAAGAGUUUGAAGGGAAGGAGCGUGUAAUUUAUUAUUUAAGCAGAAGGUUGAUUGAUGCUGAGACCAGGUAUUCGUCUAUCGAGAACUGUGCUUGUGUUUAUAUUUCUCUUGUAUCAAGUUAAGGCACUACUUGUUAUCGGCCGAAUGCACUGUUAUUUGCAAGGAUGAUGUGGUCCGAUACAUGCUAUCCAUGCGGAUUAUGAGUGGCAGGUUCGGUAAAUGGAUUUUGGCGCUGUCGGAAUUCGAUUUGCGUUAUGAAUCGGCUAAGGCAGUUAAAGGGCAGAUUAUGGCCGAUUUUGUAACUCAACAUUGCGGUACAGUGGAGACUUUGGAAAUUGUGCCUUGGACGCUCUUCUUUGAUGGGUCCACAUGUGACUGGGGGGUAGGAAUCGGCAUAGUAUUAGUUUCCCCUCGAGGAAAGAAGUAUGAAUUUUCCUUGCCAAUUGCUGCCACGUCGACGAAUAAUUAAGCUAAGUAUCAAGCCUUGAUAAAGGGGUUAGAGUUGUUGAGAGAAGUCCAUGCUGAUGCCGUUGAGGUUUUCGGGGAUUCUAUGCUAGUUAUAAAUCAAUUGGCUGGGAGCUAUGAAUGCCGGAGUGAAGUUCUCAUAACUUAUUAUGAGAGGAGUAUGUAGUUGUUAAAAGAAUUCAAAGACUUUCGAUUAGAGCAUGUUCCUCGAUUGCAUAAUGAAGAGGCCAAUCGGUUAGCUCAGCAUGCCUCGGGAUAUCAGCCUAUGAUUAAUACGGUAUCGGCAAUUGGUGCCGAUGAUUGGAGAAAAGAGAUCAUUGAUUAUUUGAAGGAUCCAUCUAAGAAAGUUGAAAGGCGGGUUCGGUUUCAAGCUACUAAGUAUGUGCUCCUCGAAGAUGAAUUGUAUUACCGAACUAUUGAUGGGAUUCUUCUCCGAUGCUUGGGUGAUGAUGAAGCUAGAAGUUUGAUGGGAGAAAUCCAUGAAGGGGUAUGUGGAGCACAUCAGUCGGCUUUCAAGAUGAAGUGGAUUAUUAGGAGGAAUGGAUAUUACUGGCCGACCAUACUCGAGGAUUGCUUUAAAUAUUUCAAAGGGUGUCAAGGCUCUCAAAAGUUUGGCAAUAUUCAAAGAGCACCCGCAUCGGCUAUGAAUCCUAUUAUCAAACCUUGGUCGUUCCGGGGAUGGGCUAUUGAUUUGAUCGGCCAGAUUUAUCCACCAUCUAGCAAAGGGCAUAAGUUUAUUCUAGUUGCCACCAAUUAUUUCACUAAAUGGGUUGAAGCUAUUCCUUUGAAGAAAGUCACAUCGGCCAAUAUGAUUGAUUUUGUAAAGGAGCAUAUUAUUUACCGAUUUGGGAUUCCUCAAACGAUUACUACCGAUCAAGGCACUAUGUUUACAUCAGGGGAGUUUGAUGAAUUCGCAAUCGGUAUGGGGAUUAAAGUGUUAAACUCUUCUCCGUAUUAUGCUCAGGCUAAUGGGCAGGCCGAGGCGUCUAACAAAGGAAUUAUCAAGCUUAUCAAACGAAAGAUUGAAGAGAAUCCUAGAAAGUGGCAUACAUUGUUAAAUGAAGCCUUAUGGUCAUACCGGAUGGCUUGUCAUGGAUCGACUAAAGUUUCGCCUUAUCAGUUGGUGUAUGGACAUGAUGCAGUGUUGCCUUGGGAAAUUAAGGCUGGAUCUACGCUAAUGCUAUUGUCUUUUCAAGAUCAGUUGGCUGCCGAUGAUUAUGCUACUUUGAUGACAGACGAGUUGGAUGAUCUAGCAGGGCAUCGGCUGAGGGCUUUGAUGAGUAUAGAAGAAAAUAAGAAGAGAGUUGCUAGAUGGUAUGACAAGAAAGUGAAGGCUAAGGAAUUUGCCCACGGAGACUUGGUAUGGAAAUUGAUUUUACCGAUCGGGACUAAAAGUUCGAAGUUUGGGAAGUGGUCUCCCAAUUGGGAGGGUUCCCAUCGGAUAAGACGAUCGGCUCCUGGUAACGCCUACAUUUUAGAAACUCUCGAAGGAGUUGAAUUUCCCAGAGCAUUAAAUGGCAAAUAUUUAAAGAAAUACUACCCCAGCAUAUGGGUCGAUGCAUAAAGACUUAAAUGCCGAUAACACUCCUAUCGGUUGGAUUAAAAUGUAUCUGGAGCCUGACUUAAUGUUUCAAAAGUUGCCGAUAACAGUCCUAUCGGCUAGAAUAAAACAUCAAGAAAGCUAAAGAGCGGAAAGAGGCAGGUGUGUUGCCGACGAAGAGCUCACAUGCUUAGCAGCGCCUGGAUCGCCGAUAUGGCGCGCAGCCGGAUUUGGUUGGCUGCUUCUAUCUCUUUGACAUCGUCAUCGGCAGAACCUUCUAUCAGCUUCAGCUUUUUCUUCAACUGCAAUGCCUUGUGACCGUGGGCGUUUCGUUCUUGCUCAAGGAGCUUGAUGGCCUCUGGCAGUUGGCUCUCUUCCUGUUGGGCUUGGGAUAGGGCGUCCUCCACUUGCUUGAGUUCUGCCAACAGGGCUUCUCUUUUUGCCGAUAGGUCGGAGAUCUUCUGCUUCAGCGCGUCUCCUAAAGAUCUCAAGAUGCCGAUGUUCUUGUGCUUCUCAUCGGUCAGGAGUUUCUCUUUCAUCAUCUCCUCAGAAAGCUGGGUUUGAGCAGCUCUAUCGGCAAGGCGCCGGGAGGCUCUCUGGUACUGCAGCUGACGACUAUCCAGAUGUGCGGCUUGGAAGAGGAUUUCUUCGACAUCGGCAGGAAUCUGGCCUCUGAGCGUCUUGAACAGAACUUUGGCUGGGUCAGAGUCGUCGACCAGUUGAGCCGUGUCUUGAUGGAGGAGAGCCGACAGUUCUUCUAGCUUAGCCCUGAUCUCUGCCGACGCGAUCCCAACUGCCCGGGAGGAGCUUGCUUCCUCACCUUCUUCUUCGGAGAUAUCAAUGGCAAAGGAAAAUAAGUUGUCGGGAGAAUCCUGUUCCUAAAAAGGAAAAAAAAAGUGAGUCAUUCUAUAGUCAGGACAUCGGCAAAUAACAUUGAUGGAGAUCCGAUGGCUUACUUGCUUCAAGGCAAUUUCUCGCCUUUGACUGGAAGAUGCCGAUGGAGCCGCAGAUGGAUCGGCCAGGAUUGCCGAUGGAACGACGUCAGCUGAAAAUUGACCACAGGGGUUAUGAGACUGAAAAAGAAUAAGUUCAUCGGUGGUGAUGUUAUAAAAAAUGUGUUACCUUGAGGAGGGACGAUGCUUGUCUGGAUUGAGGAAACUACCGAUGACAUGAUUGAACCUGCCGGGUCGGUAGUUUGCUCGCCUACAUCGGCUGAUGUGUCUUCUGGCUAGGGUGCUUCUACUUGGGGUUCUUCUUGCUGGGGUUCGUCUGCUUCUGGUGUUUCUUGCGGUCGAGGGGGAGAUGGUACUUGCUGAGUCUCUACGUCUGGAGGAGAAGGAGAAGAUUCCACCGAAAUGGGAGAUACCGGAGGAGGAGGAGGAGUCGCCACUUUCUGGCGCUUUGUUUGUGCCCUGGUACUCUUGGCACCCUUUCUCUUUUGCUGGCUGGACUGGGGUGCAUCGGCACCUUGGCUCUUGGUUCUUGCCGAUGCACUAGUUUGCUGUUACAGAAGAAAGAAUUUGUGGGUAUCAAUACAGCCGAUGUAAAAAUAAGAUCGGUAUGAAUGAAGAGGCCUAACAGUUACCUUAAAAGCCUAUGCUAGAGUGGAGGCGGCUACCGAUGGUGGUGUCUGAGUUCUCCUGGUGGUAACUUUCUUGAGGCGUAUACCUCGAUGCACGAUGGCAGCCAAGGUAGGGGCAUUGUGGCCGAUUUAAGAGAUUGGACCUGAUGCAAACAGAUCAAUCGGCUUGCCACUUCUACUGACCGAUGGAGGGGUGUUAUCGACCUGCAAAAUAAUACAAAAGUAAGUCACCGAUGAAAAUGAAAUUGGAAGAAUUGGAACAUCAGUUUGAAGACACUUACAGUAUCAUCGGGGACUUUGUACUCGGGGUCGAUCAUACCGCGGUACGUGAGGGCCGAUUUGCAGAAUAGAUGCUCCUUCCAUUCUGCCCACCACUGCUUGUACGCCUGAGUGAUGAAGGCGGCUGGAACCCACUCUGAUAAGUCUACGUCUGUAUCGGCACCCGAUGGCACUUGGGCUACUCGAAUCCAUUCUAGGAGGCUGGUAAUGGUUUCCCUGGGCUUUAUUACAUCGGCGUAGCAGAGUGCAAUCGGCAGUUGGCCGAAAGCUAACUGACGAGCUAAUGCCGAUGGAUUGUAGAACUCAUAAGUCUGGGGAGAGGUUUUCCCACUACUGAAGAAGUUCACUGGUAUGGCUCUGGGGGUCACCAAAGCCAUCAUCACUUUGUUAUCCUUGUCAAGGGCAUCGUUGAACGGGUUAAAAACCAGGGGAAGCAUACUGUCUGGGUCAUCGUAGGCCAACCACGCUCGCUCAUCUCUGGCCAAACCCUCAUACAAAGUUUGGAAGAAUCGGCUGACCUGAUUUGGAUUACCCCCUGUACCAGGCAGAACUAUGACAGCUUCACCGAAGUUCAAGGGAGCGCGUGUUGCCGAUUCCUCUUCAUCCAACACAUGGUUUUCGGCUAUGUCUCUUGGAAAACGCUGUGUGAACAGGUCAAACUCAAGGUGCUUGUGCAGAUGCAGAUUGAGCCACAUAUUGAUGAACCACCAGGGGCCUCCCAAGUUGCCGAUAGACUGGCCGAGCAAGAGUUUCCUAGUCACUUGGUGAAGGAGGUGGUAGGCUGCACCAAGCAGGUAUCGGCCGAGGGGGAAUCAGCCACCAUUGGCCAGAUUUUCAGCUGCCGCUAAGUGGACCGAGGCUGGUCCUGCUAAUCGCCCGCAAAACACGAACUUAUCUAGCCACAUGUUCAGGAAACAGGUCUGCUCUUUUAUGUUGAUAGGGCCUGUUCGUUUAUAUUUCUGAAUAUACCCUGACCAACCGCCGAUGGAGCGAGUUUCUACCUUGGCACUGGGCUUGGUGUCGAAAAAAUGGGUGCUAUCGGCUGAAGAUACAUCUAGGCCGGUAAGCAUAGCCACAUCGGCAAGAGUAGGGGAAGCAGGGCCGUGGCCAAAGACAAAGGCGUUGAGCGUGUCUGACCAGAAGUAUGAUGCGGCUAUCAGCAGUGACUCAUUUCUAUGCAUAUCAGCAAUGGAUAACCUAAUGCAUUGAUCUAGCUUUCUUUCACCCCAUUGGACUUCAUUUGAGUUGCUGACUGUUGACGGUCCUUAAGUAUCAAAUUUAAUUAUCAAAUAAACAAAGAAAAGGAUCCAAAUGAAAUCAACAUCUAGACUUGGGGUUUUAUCUGACAGAAUUCCACGAGUUUUGGUGUUUGUCUAUUUCUGCAGGGGGUUAUCAGGAAAUAAGGAAGAAAGGCCCACAUGUCGGGAUUACAUAGUGAUAUCAACCCACCGCACAAUUUUCUACCAUCUAGAAGACUCCAGAAGCCACGGGAAGGAAGCGGAGCCCGAAAGGGGCCAGGCCCAGGGCGCCCGCCCCCCUGUUGGAGCCAAAUCAGGACUCUUUCGCCCGGGAUAUUCCACCAACCUAUUGGAUCAAGAAAAACAUAGUACCACCUCGCCUAUCGACCCAAAAACGCAUAGAAGGGGAGGACUAUAUAAGCAAGGCCCCCUGGCCCCUGGAGGAGACAAGAAAUUAUCAUAGAGAUUGAGGGGUGCCCUCGAAGGAAAACCUCUUCUCUAAAUAAUAUUUCUUUUUAGGCUUAGCAACCAAUGUAAGGUAGAAAUAGAUCUUCUAGUUUCUACUAGAUUGAGAGAGAUAGAGUGGAGGUGUAGAUCGGAGGAAGGCCGGCCUGUCGGUGUCUACUCCGAGUUGUACCUACGGGAUCAAGUCUCCUAACCCGAGGCUUGCUUCUAAGAUUCUUCAGUAAUUCGACUUCUAAUACUAGUAAGUUCUUGUUUUAUUGUUCUUUGGUUUAUGAGUUUACUUUAAUCCUCUUCCGGUUGAGUAUUAGAGUAAUCACUUGUUAGCGUAAACGUGGUGUUUAGGCUAGGGUACUCAUAGAUAUGCCCUGACUAGCUGGACCGUGGUAGUAGCGAGGAACGUGACAUUUCCGAGUUACCUUUGUAGAUCACAUCUCGUUAGCAGGACGGGUAGGGUUAUAGGUGCGGGUCGAACAUCCUUUGUGUUGUCUAGAUUCCGUGAGCCUUCCCAAUAGAAUAGUAGAUCAUCCUUACCAAGGUUAGAACGAGACUACGGUUGCAGUCUUCUCUAUACAUCACUCACAUCGAGAGACAUUCUUUGUAGCCUAAAGGGAUAGUAGCAAUAGAUUUGGUUAGUCAGAUGCACCCUUUCUCCCAGUGGUAAAAAUAUAAAUACGAUAACUCUGGAUAACCUCCCGGGUGAAAUGCUCACCGAUAUCCGUGUGCUUGCGGAUCAUUUUCUAAUUGCGUUACCAAAUAUCAACAAGCAUUUCUGGCGCCAUUGCCGGGGAGAAAGACGGUUUGCUGAGAUAACUUUGAGUCUUGCUAUUAUCUUGUAUUAUACUUUUAUACUUUUAUUCUUUUAUCUUUUUAUUUUUUCUAUCUUUAUGGAUAACUCAAAUUCCAUACCUAUUAUUGAAUUCUUUGCACCUUCGGAGACCAGCCAUAGACCAUGGGAGUCAACACGUCCUGCCCCUAAUUAUGAUCUGUGUCCGGAGUUGAUUGCAAUAGGUCAAAACCAACCCUUUUCUAUAGCCGAGGUCCUAUCUUUUAAUCACAAAGAUAAUGCACUUUUAGCUACACCUAGGGAAUCUAUUAAUCUUUCUAUAAAUUCUGGUUUAGACCUAGCCCUACAAGACCAUGUUUUUCCUAGAUAUUUUCAAAUUGGUCUUAAUCAUAUAACCUUUGGUAGAGUCUUUCUUUCUUUAUCUAUUAGUAAAGGAAGGUAUGCCUUCAUUUGUGGACAUCCUUCUUGUAAUAGUCUUCAUAGAAAAAUCUUAGAAAUAGAGAAGGAAUCAUCUCCCAGACGAGGAAAGGAAGUUUUAAUAGCCAAUUUCCAAACAUUUCAAUCCCAUGAUUCGGCUAUCCAACCCAUCCUUGAGCUUAACAAUUUCUACUAUGCUCUUUCUCUUGAACCUCCCGAUAAUCCUAUGAAUCUCUCUAGACAUCCCAUGCAUAAGAAGGAGGAUCGAGAAGAGGAACAUCAAUGGCUAGAGGGCAUUAAAAAUCCAUGUGCUAUCACCAUUGAAUGGAUAGAUAAAACAAACUUGAGAGACAAUCCUAGAGGAAUUUUAAACAUUCAUGAAGAAUCAUCCUUGGAGUUUGAGAAUGAGAGAAACAACAGUGAGCAUGGAAGUUAUUUCAUAAAUACCUCACCCAGUCCUUGCUCAUAUAAAACAUCUCUCCAAUCAAUUUGUCUCUCCAUCCUUACCACAUUUGAGAUCUCCAACCCCCUCUUCUUAUCUAUUUAUAAAAACUUUAAAAGGGCGGUUGUCGAUGCAUAUGUCUAUAAUAAAUAUUACAGAUCUCGUUGAGUUAAUUGAUGGUUCCCCAAGGACAAGCUUAGUGUCCUAAAACAAGCACUUCUAAUUAUUUGCAACAUUGCCUUGUGUAUUGAGCAUAUAAAGAUAAUUGUAGAAAUAUUCCUUCGGGUAUUCUUGUCACUAACCUUUCCAGGAUUGGAGCAAGAAGAUCGGAUGAAUGACAAGCACAAGGUAUGCCCAACCAAUCAUCAUGCAACAUUAAAUUAAAUUCAUUCAAUCUUGAAUUUUGCAAAAUUCAAGCUUGGGGGAGUACUUUACAUAAAACAUCCUUUGCCAUGUUGCUAUGUUGGUUGUCCUUACCUUUGAGACAUGCUCAAUUUGUUAAAUACUAAUCACACUACUUCAUCUCCACUUGAGUAGAUCUCUAUAAAAGCCAUCAUGCUACCUUUGUUUAUCCUAGUAAGUGUUAGUUUGGAAGUAUUGGUCACACUUCCAAUGGCAUUUAAAUUAAGCGUGGUGCUUAGGUUAAAUAGCCUUCCUUAAUCUGAUUAGACAUGGAGUCUAGUUUGGUUACUUAACUAAAAACUGCUUGAGUAGAUAUUGGUAUAUUUUGUUGGACUAACCCCUGUAGGAAAACUUUCAAUAACAACCUGGGAAGUCCUGAGAUGCAAACUCAUUAGAGAUGAAGAAAGUGACACAUGAAGUUUAACAAUUUGCACAAGAAAGACGUAGCUCAUAAGAGAUGAUUCAUGGAGGGUGCCACAAACACGAUGCACAACCGCUAAGAAAGGAAAGCUUCCACAAGGUGAUAUUGUACCAUCACUCUUCAAGUAAGGUAACAUCUUAAGGUACUUGACUAACACUUUUAUAAGCUCCUCCUUGGUUCUGGCAUUCACAUAAAUAAAGAGACAAACAUGUAUGAUUUAUAACUCCAAAUUAACCAACUCAAUUAAUUCAACAUGUUUAGUCCUUUAAUCUUUGUUCUUAGUACUACCUUUGUGACCCCACACUCCUAAUCAUAUAAGCUAAAGUAGUGCACAUUCAAUCUUUGGAAGAUAUAAACAAAACAUAAAUAUAGAUAGAUUAUCUUUCCAUUAGGUUGAGCCAUCUGAUCUGACAAAUGCUACACUCAUAAUCCAUCAACUUUGUCUUGCUCACUAUGCUUAAGGUUAGAGAAGAACAAAUACACUUUUGGUUCUGUUGGUGUUUUCCACCAACAGGGCCCAUGCACUUGAUCUCUACCUUGUCUCUAUGAGCAGGAACACUUCGAGCAUAAUAUGAAGGAGUUCUACAACUCCCAGAUUCCACCAAGUGAAGAACUAGGAUCUACGAGCACAAAUAUACUGGAGAUACUGGACGCUCAGGCAAUCACUGCCCUAGGAUGCUUGAGGACGUGAACUACAUCAACAACAAUAACAACUAUUACUACAACCGUCCUCAACAACAUCAAGGUUGGAAUCAACAGAGGCCUAAUUACUCAGAGAGGUGAUCUAGGACGCCCCGUCAUCCCGAUCUCCAUCGGCAUGGUGGACUUCCUAGAAGCACUCUGCGACUUUGGCUCCAGCGUCAACAUUAUGCCCAGGGUUGCAGAUCGGACACUCAGUUUCCCAAAGGAAAUAUUGAAGAACCUCUGCGUCUGAGUUGGUACCUUGUAUGCUCUAGCAGACUUCAUGGUGAUAGAGACUGGUACUGAGGAGAGGGCACCCAUCAUCUGAGGGAGGCCAUUCCUAAACACUAGAGCUGUUAUCUACGCUAAUGCUGCCAAGAUCAGUCUCUACAUCAAGGGGAAGAAGGAGACUUUCCUUCAAGAACAAGACUACACAAACUUCAGAGCAACCCCGACAUCAACCAAGGAAGAGGACCAACAGGAGGAACAGGAACAAGCAAAUGUGGACCGAGUCAGCUAAGAUGGUCACUGCAGUUCAAGGAGGUCAAGAUCGUCGACUCAAGUCACCUUUCUUGAUCAAGAAGGACGACCCUGGUGUUCCAAGAAUCGAAUGCACAAACAAUAGAUACUCUUUUCAGAAGACACUCUACGACACCGGAUCUGACGUCAACAUAAUGGCCGCAGUCACUUAUCAGCUCCUGCAUGGAACCAUGCCCCUACAACCAAGAUACAUUCAGCUUCAAACAAUUUUCAGGUCAUUGACAUGGGAGAAGACAAGUAUGAUCCAUCCACCAUCCUUGGAAGACCGUUCCUAAACACUAUCAAAGCCAUUAUCUAUAUUGGAACCGGAGAAGUCCACAUGCGCUUCCCCUCUGAGAAAGGUACGCCACUACUUUAAUGAUUAUAUAGUUGAAGAUUCUAAGCAGGUCAGGACCAGAAGAAGACAACGCAACCGCAACCAGAGGAGGCAAAUCAUCAAGGACGGACAGGUAGACUACGAAGGAGAAGUGAUAAGGACUGAAGACAUACCGCUUGAACAUAACUGUCCUGAGGAGACCGUAGCACCGAGUCAGGUGUGGAGAGAGAAUAUAGUUACACACGAAGAGGAGGCGCCACCGGAAUCACCGACUACGUCAUCCAGCGAAUCCCAGGACGAUUAAGAAAAUGGAGAGUCCCGCUCGGAGGACUUCAAAACACCGAACGCCUUGCCAAGAGGUAAACUUGGUAGUUAUCCUUUCCCUUUUAAUUAUUUCAAAUAGUUUACUUAGUUAAUCAUGUUCGUAUUUUCCUAGAAAGAAAAUAAAAAUGUGAAAAAAACUGUAAGCCCCAUGUGAGUAGACGAGUGGCAUAAAACCCAUAAGUACAUUCACUGUGGUGGCAUAAAAAAAAAUAAAUAUUUUUCUACUUUAUAAAAACAAAAAUAUAAAAACAGGAAGUAAUAAUUAUUAAGGAGUCUCAAGAUAAUAAAGGCUAGAUAUUUAUGCUAACACUUAAUCAGUUCCACAAGCUUUGUUGUCUAUUUGAGCUCCACAGAAUUUAAGAAUCAAGAAGACUAGCAGACGGAGGACAUUCUAAUCGCUGUCAAAAUACUGCUGACUUUCAAACACACCUCUGCCACCUGCUAGCUACAUCAAGAAAAAUUACGUCAAAAUUCAGCUUGGGGGAGAGCACCCCCAUUUAUCUCGAUAAGUAUUUCUAUCUAUCUUUAUACUUAUACUAUAUUAGAAUAUAAAUACACAUAACUAUGAAAAACCAAAUAAAGAUUUUAUGCUUAUAUAUAUUUUGCUUAGUAUGUUUAAUAAAUAAAUAAAGUGGCUAUGCUAAUCUGUAUCUAAUAAAACUUAAGCAUGGACAUGAUGAAUAGUUGCUCUGCCCAAUUUGCAAAUUUGAAGUUCUCUCUCAAGUUUGGAUAUAACUGUUAUAAUUUAAGGCUUGCUCUAGACCUAAACUUGUGGGAUGAAAACUUGAGCUGAAGUCUAAGUUGUUAACGGAUACGAUAUGGGAAGGUUGAGCUGCUGUUUAUCUGUUCCUAGAGAUGCUAGAAUUCUGGAGAAUUUUAUCUUUGAAAAUCAUUAAAAUGUUGCAUGAUGAGUUCCUGUACGAUGAGAGUUUAAAAUCCUACCACAGCCAUAUAUACAUGCUUGCUAGACUUUGAGCCAUACAUUUACUUUUUACUGCUUAUGAGCAUUGAGUGUGGUCAAGCUGUGUAGACCCUUAGGAGCUUGUCAUGUGGUUAAAAUCAAGAUUCACUUGCACGAUUACUCAUACAUGCUACUUCUACUCCGGAAGUACCAUCCACAUAUAUCCACUCAUUUCUAUCUCCAGUUUUACCCAAAAUUAUUCUACUCCUAAUCCGGGAGAGAAUAGCCAAAAACAUUUUCCUAUCCCUGUUAUUCCCUAUGAAAUAAAUGCUCUAGUUAUUUUGGUUACUACCACUUGCUACAUUAUUUCAGGAGAUGAGUGCUCUAGAAAGAAAAAAAAAAGAGAAAAAAAAAGAAGAAGAAAAAAAAAUAAAUAAUAUACGAGGAAAUAAAAAGGGGCAAGUGCCCGGAACCUCGAAGAAAAGAAAAAGUGAGACGAGAGGUAAAAAUGGACAAGUGUCCGACAGUAGAAUUAGGGGUACAAGAUACCCACCUGAGAGGAAAGAGAAAGAAAAUAUAGAGCAUCUCAUUCUCCUCAUAAAGUUUCAAAAGCAAGGAAGGUAUGUAUCCCCUCAAAGAGCAAAGUAGAAUUAGACUUCCACCACCAUUAUCACCAUCAUCACCAUACACCAUUCACAUGCACAUCUUGAUUUGGCUUAUUGAUUUGUUUCUUUGGAUCCAUGGUUUGACUAUGCAAUAAAUGUCUUGUAAGUAUGUAUACUUUAUCUCCCACCUAUGAGCUCCAGAUAUUAAAGCCUUAUUAGAGUAGGGUGAGAGAGAAGACAAUGUCACUAUGCUUCAUACCACAAAUACCACAUAUCUUGAGAGAAGGCAUAUACCAUCACUGCCUUGGUAAGGAUCCAGAAAUACCACAAAAGAGAGACCUGAGAGAAUCAUACAAGGAAUCUCUGAGUUUUAUUUGAAAAUCUGCAAAAACCCCAGAGCUAUAGCUGAUCAAGAAUAAGAGACAUGGCACUUGACUAGACUGUUCUAUCUUUUAACCACUCAAGACAGAAGUGACGGUUACAAAUCCUAUGGUGUAGGUAAAGUAAGUAAGUUUUAAGUCUUAACAGUUUAUUCUAACUCAGAGAUGAGAUCUUGCUUAAAUGCGUGUGUACUUCUAAGAAAUGAAACCACUGCAGAAACUCUUGAGUUCAUCCUUGCUCAGGGACGAGCAAGAGGUAAGCUUGGGGGAGCUUGUUGACGGUCCUUAAGUAUCAAAUUUAAUUAUCAAAUAAACAAAGAAAAGGAUCCAAAUGAAAUCAACAUCUAGACUUGGGGUUUUAUCUGACAGAAUUCCACGAGUUUUGGUGUUUGUCUAUUUCUGCAGGGGGUUAUCAGGAAAUAAGGAAGAAAGGCCCACAUGUCGGGAUUACAUAGAGAUAUCAACCCACCGUGCAAUUUUCUACCAUCUAGAAGACUCCAGAAGCCACGGGAAGGAAGCGGAGCCCGAAAGGGGCCAGGCCCAGGGCGCCCGCCCCCCUGUUGGAGCCAAAUCAGGACUCUUUCGCCCGGGAUAUUCCACCAACCUAUUGGAUCAAGAAAAACAAAGUACCACCUCGCCUAUCGACCCAAAAACGCAUAGAAGGGGAGGACUAUAUAAGCAAGGCCCCCUGGCCCCUGGAGGAGACAAGAAAUUAUCAUAGAGAUUGAGGGGUGCCCUCGAAGGAAAACCUCUUCUCUAUAUAAUAUUUCUUUUUAGGCUUAGCAACCAAUGUAAGGUAGAAAUAGAUCUUCUAGUUUCUACUAGAUUGAGAGAGAUAGAGUGGAGGUGUAGAUCGGAGGAAGGCCGGCCUGUCGGUGUCUACUCCGAGUUGUACCUACGGGAUCAAGUCUCCUAACCCGAGGCUUGCUUCUAAGAUUCUUCAGUAAUUCGACUUCUAAUACUAGUAAGUUCUUGUUUUAUUGUUCUUUGGUUUAUGAGUUUACUUUAAUCCUCUUCCGGUUGAGUAUUAGAGUAAUCACUUGUUAGCGUAAACGUGGUGUUUAGGCUAGGGUACUCAUAGAUAUCCCCUGACUAGCUGGACCGUGGUAGUAGCGAGGAACGUGACAUUUCCGAGUUACCUUUGUAGAUCACAUCUCGUUAGCAGGACGGGUAGGGUUAUAGGUGCGGGUCGAACAUCCUUUGUGUUGUCUAGAUUCCGUGAGCCUCCCCAAUAGAACAGUAGAUCAUCCUUACCAAGGUUAGAACGAGACUACGGUUGCAGUCUUCUCUAUACAUCACUCACAUCGAGAGACAUUCUUUGUAGCCUAAAGGGAUAGUAGCAAUAGAUUUGGUUAGUCAGAUGCACCCUUUCUCCCAGUGGUAAAAAUAUAAAUACGAUAACUCUGGAUAACCUCCCGGGUGAAAUGCUCACCGAUAUCCGUGCGCUUGCGGAUCAUUUUCUAAUUGCGUUACCAAAUAUCAACACUGACCCUCAAAAACCAAUCUGUCCAUCCUACAGUAGCGAUGGGCCAAGAACGGAAAGUAUCCUUCCACAGAUCCAAAGAAAAGUUCUCGGCCCUAAAAGGAAUCCUGUUGGUUUCUGCGUUAAUGAGAUUGGCUGGAUCUGGAUCCCCUAAUGGGCCAAGGCAUUGGAGAUGUGGUUGAUCGGUGGGGAUAACAAUUUUAUCGGACAAUUCCUAGUGGUUUUGGAGGUAGAGAGGGAGAAACAAAGAAAAAAAAGGAAAUAUUCAGUAAGAUGGAUUGCGGAUGAACAAAGGUGCGAGAAAAGUACGGGAGAUGGAGUGAAGAACUGACCUCCGGAACAAUGAAGUUGACGGCCCUAUUGCCACGGGGAGGACGAUCGGAGGCUCCGGAGUUGGUGAAGAAGAGACGUCGUCGGGGAUCUUGGAGACCUUGAAAGGCGCCGCCGCUGGGAAAGUAAAGUUGGGAUGGUGGAAUGAUGUGAUGGAGAAGGAGUACCUGAGAAGGAACUAUUUAUAGGACAAAACGGGCAAGGGCAAAAUUGACUUAUCUCUUCGCCGUGUCCGUGAAAUCCGAGGGUGCUCAGGUAGAUAUGGCAACUGUUCGCACGGUAAUCAAGGGAUUGUGCAGACGAUUUGACAGGAAGCGGUCAUUAUCCAGAGAUAUUUUACUGUGCAGGAUCUCCUGGUCGGUCCAUCGGCAGCGUCCUGUAACGGUCAUAUUGCCGAUGAGCGAAUAGAGUCGAGAUAGCCGUUUGGGAAGAUAAGAUACGGGUGUCCUGGUCAGUACAUCGGUAAGUCCCUAUAACGGUAAUACUGCCGAUGCAUGACUAAAAUAGAAAUGUCCGUUGAGGGAAGUUGAGGAUUUCGAGGGAUCUGCGGAAGGAUAGGAUCAGAGUUGUUCAGAUUAAGGCUGUCGGUUGCCAGAUUAGGAGCAUUAAUUGCGGAAAAAGACAUCAUUACUGCAGAGAAUUUUGGAGCAUUAAUGAUUCUAUACUCCGAAAUUGGGGGGCAUGUGUUGACACCAUUUUUGGGCACGUGUCCAUGAUCGGUAAAGUGUAGAUCGGCAAGAUAAGGCGGUGGUACUUGGUCUACAGGGAAAGUUGCCAAUGGAGAUGGUUGCCGAUGGAAGGAUGGUUGAACGUGACUAAGUCCAUAGGUGAUGAUGUGCCUGUGCCGAUGGCUGCGACAAGGGAGUUUGCCGAUGAUAUAGGGGAAGAGCCUGGGGGUUGCCGAUCGGUCUGUGGAGGUGUUCCAGUUUGUCACGAGGGGAUAAUUUUAUAUUUUCCUUAAUUAUUUAGAUCGUUCUGUAUACGGAUUAUGUGUAAUUUGGAAUUCGAGUUCUAGUCGUGUCUGGUUGUAGCUCUUUGAGCAGGGUAUAAAUGUAGACCCUAGGGCCUUGUAAUUAGACAUCUAUCAAUCAAUCAAACACAAGUUUUUACUCAUAUUCCAGCAUCUACUUUUCGGCGACUUCGUCAUAUUUCCCUUUUUAUUACGAGUUCUUAGGAAUUCGUCGACUUAAGCUCGACGUGUUCUCGAGUUCCACGUGAGUACCUCUUGGCCGUGACAUCUGGGCGCAUCGCUGUUGUCAGGACCAAAGUAUUCGAGUUACCUUCCUUGCCGAUAGUAAGGUCAAAUCGGCUGGCACGCCUUAACGUUUGAAUCGGGUAUUAGCCCUUUGUGUUUGCAGAUCAGCUUUUGCACCAACAGAGAUAAAAUAUACAUACUUACAAGACAUUUAUUGUAUAGUCAAACCAUGGAUCCAAAGAAACAAAUCAAUAAGUCAAAUCAAGAUGUGCAUGUGUGGCGAAUGAAUGGUGUAUGGUGAUGAUGGUGAUAACAAUGGUGAAAGUCUAAUUCUACUUUUGCUCUUUGAGGGGAUACAUACCUUCCUUGCUUUUUGAAUCUUUUUGAGGAGAAUGAGAUGCCCUUCUUUUUCUUUUCUCUCAGGUGGGUAUCUUGUACCCCUAAUUCUACUGUCGGACACUUGUCCAUUUUUACGUCUCGUCUCACUUCUUUCCUUUCUUUCGAGGUUCCGGGCACUUGCCCCUUUUUAUUUUCUCGUAUCUUUUUUUCUUCUUUUUUUUAGAGCACUCAUCUCUUGAGAUAAUAUAGCAAGUGGUAGUAACAAGAUAACUUGAGCAUUUAUUUCACAAAGAAAAAAACAGAAAUAUUUUUGACUAUUCUUUCCCAGAUUAGGAGUAGAAUAUUUUUGGGUGAUUCUGGAGAUGGAAAUGGAUGGAUAUAUGUGGAUGGUACUUCCGGAGUAGAAGUAGCAUAUAUGAGUGAACGUGCAAGUGAAUCUUGAUUUAACCACAUGACAAGCUCCUAAGGGUCUACACAGCUUGACCACACUCAAUGCUCAUAAGCAGUAAAUAUUAAAUGUGUGGCUCAAAGUCUAGCAAGCAUGUAUAUAUGGCUGUGGUAGGAAUUUAAACUCUCAUCAUACAGGAACUCAUCAUGCAACAUUUUAAAGAUUUUCAAAGAUAAAAUUCUCCAGAAUUCUAGCAUCUCUAGGAACAGAUAAACAGUAGCUCAACCUUCCCAUAUCGUAUCCGUUAACAACUUAGACUUCAGAUCAAGUUUUCAUCCCACAAGUUUAGGUCUAGAGCAAGCCUUAAAUUAUAACAGUUAUGUCUAAACUUGAGAGAGAACUUAAAAUGUGCAAAUUAGGCAGAGCAGCUAUUCAUCAUAUCCAUGCUAGAGUUUUAUUUAGAUACAGAUUAGCAUAGCCACUUUAUUUAUUUAUUAAACACACUAAGCAAAAUAUAUAUAAGCACAAAAUCUUUAUUUGGUUUUUCAUAGUUAUGUAUAAUUAAAUUAUAAUAUAAUAUAAGUAUAAAGAUAGAUAGAAAUACUUAUCGAGAUAAAUGGGGUUGCUCUCCCCCAAGCUGAAUUUUGACGUAAUUUCUCUUGAUGUAGCUAGCAGGUGGCAGAGGUGUAUUUGAAAGUCAGCAGCAUCCUAACAGCGAUUAGAAUGUCCUUCGUCUGCUAGUAUUCUUGAUUCUUAAAUUCUGUGGAGCUCAAAUAGACAACAAAGCUUGUGAAACUGAUUAAGUGUUAGCGUAAAUAUCUAGCCUUUAUCAUGUUGAGACUCCUUAAUAAAUAUUACUCCCUGUUUUUAUAUUUUCGUUUUAUAAAGCAGAAAAAUAUUUAUUUUAUUUUUAUGCCACCACAGUGAAUGUACUUAUGGGUUUCACGCCACUCGCAUACUCACAUGGGGCUUACUGUUUUUUGCAUUUUUAUUUUCUUUUUAGGAUAGUACGAACAUAAUGAACUAAGUAAACUAUUUGAAAUAAUUCAAAGGGAAAGGAUAACUACCAAGUUUACCUCUUGGCAAGGCGUUCGGUGUUUUUAAGUCCUCCGAACGGGACUCUCCAUUUUCUCUUUCGUCUUGAGGUUCGUUGGGUGGCGUAGUCGGUACUUCCGGCAGCGCCUCCUCUUCAUGUAUAGUUAUCUUUAUUUUCCAUACCUGAUUCGGUGCUUCAAUCUCCUCUGGAUAAUUCUGUUUAAACUCUACGUCUUCUGACCUUACAACUUCUCCUUCAUAGUCUGCCCAUCCGUCCUUGAUGAUUUGCCUCCUCUGGUUGCGGUUGCGUCGUUUCCUGACCUGCUUAGAUUCUUCAACGAUAUAGUUAGGGUCAGUAAAAUAACGGCGUACCUUCUCUGAGGGGAAGUGCAUAUGGACUUCUCCGGUUCCAAUGUAGAUGAUUGCUUUAACGGUGCUGCGGAACGGUCUUCCAAGGAUGAUGGGUGGAUCGUAUUCGUCUUCUCCCAUGUCAAUAACUUGAAAGUCUGUGUAGACAAGAUGAUCGUCUAUUUUGACUGGGACAUCAAUUACUGUUCCUUUAACUUCUCGAAAUGUCUGAUCUGCCAUCUGGAGCUGAAUGUAUGUUGGUCUUAGGGGCAUGGUUCCGAACAAGUGCCGAUAGGUGACUGCGGCCAUUAUAUUGACGCCCGAUCCGGUGUCGCAAGUCGUCUUGUAGAAGUUGUAUCCAUUUAUGGAGCAAUAGAUGCUUGGCAUUCCUGGGUCGUCCUUCUUGGUCAAAAACAGUGAUUUAAGUUGAUGAUCUUGGCCUCCAUGAACUGCAGUGACCAUCUUCGCUGACUCAGUCCACACUUGCUUAUUCCUAUUCCUCCUGUUGGUCCUCUUCCUUGAUUCACGUCUGGAUUGAUCUGGAAUUUGUGUAGUCUUGUUCUUGAAGAAAAAUGUCUCCUUCUUCCCUUUGACGUAGAAACUGAUCUUGGUAGCACUAGCGUAGAUGAUAGCUCCCGUGGUGUUCAAGAAUGGCCUCCCUAAGAUGAUGGGUGCCCUCUCAUCAUUUCCGGUCUCUACCACUACGAAGUCUGCUGGGGCAUACAAGGUACCAACUCGGACACAAAGGUUCUUCACUAUUCCUUUUGGAAAAGUUAUCGUCUGAUCUGCAAACUGCAAACACAUGGUUGUUUCUAAUAAAGGAUAUGUAAAGAAUUUCUCAUAGAGUACCCUGGGUAUAAUGUUGACGCUAGAGCCAAAGUCGCAGAGUGCUUCUGGAACGUCCACCAUGCCGAUGGAGAUCGGGAUGACGGGGCGUCCUGGAUCGCCUCUCUUGACCGGCAGAAGGUCAGUAGAGAAUUCAGUGACGAGGUUACUCCAAUUACCUACAUCAAACAUGUCUACAAGAUUUGCAGAUUCUAAUCCUUCCGGUUGUGAUGGUAUACCGGGGUUAGUAGUAGGAACAGCAGCAGCUAUUUGAUUUAACUGAGAUUCAAUCAUUUUAUUAAAGCUAAUUUGAUUCUUGAUGGCAGUAGAGAAAUUAUCCAUUCUAUUAUUUAUAUUUUCUAGCAUUUUAUCAUUAGAUGCCAAUUUCUUAGAUAGGUUAUCCAUUAGCUUUCCUUGAUUAGACACUAACUCUCUCAACGAUGGAAAAUUAUUAUUAUUGUUGUAAGAAUUGUUACCUUGAUAAUUACCUGAGUAGUUAGGCCUCUGUUGAUUCCAACCUUGAUUUUGUUGAGGACGGUUGUAGUAGUUGUUGUUAUUAUUGUUGAUGUAGUUCACAUCCUCGAGCAUCUCAGGGCAGUGGUUGCCUGAGUGUCCAGUAUCUCCACACUCCUCACAAGUCAUGUGAGAGUCGUAGAUGUGCAUAACUUCUUUCUUGUCUCCAGCUCUCUCAUCGAGCUUCUUCAUGAGCAGGUCUAGCUUUGCAGACAGCAUGUCUACCUCCUUGAGCUGAUGCAUACCUCCACCUCUCUUGCGUGUCUGGGUCCUCUCUUCAUUCCAGCCUUGGUUGGACGCCAUCUUCUCCACAAGAGCUGUGGCUUGUGGUAUAGUAAGUGAUAAGAAUGCUCCUCCAGCUGCAGCAUCCAUGGUCUCUCGGGCACUGUUGCCGAGCCCAUGAUAAAACUUCUGCAUUAGUAGCCAACUCUCCAUUCCAUGAUGGGGACAUUCUAGGAUGUAGUCUUGAAAGCGCUCCCAUGCUUCUGGAACAGAUUCAUCAUUUUGUUGCUGAAAACUUGUAAUCUUCCCACGGAGAGCAUUGGUCUUGCCCAUGGGAAAGAACUUAGCCAGGAAGUUUGUUGAGCAGAGUGCCCACAUAGUAUUCUUCUCCUUUGUAGCGUAGAACCACUGCUUCGCUCUUCCUAACAGUGAGAAUGGGAAGAGGCGAAGUAGUAUAGCAUCUUUGGAAACUCCUGAUAUGGUGAAUCUGUUGCAAAUCUCUAGGAAGUGUUGGAGAUGAGCACUAGCAUCUUCAUGUGCCUUCCCACAGAACUGGUUGGAUUGCACCAUGUUGAUAAGUCCAGGCUUGAGCUCAAAGUUGCCAUCGAUCUCUGCAGCUGGUCCAGUGCGGAUGUUGUCCGUAGUGGGAGCUGAGAACUCGCGGAUUGAUUUACUCGCCAUGGUUUCGAACUCUGAAGACAAGUUCCGGUGAUCUUCUUGAUUGAAUGAAGCUUCUUGCUGAAGUGUUGAUGAUCUUUUCUUGAGCUUGGCUCUUGUUUUUCUGAAUAAUGCUUCGGGAUUGUCAACAAAAUUUCCUAGAAGAUGUCUUCUAUUCAUACAUUCCCCUGCAUAAGAUAAAAUAGAAAAAUAUCAGGGUAAAACUGUAUGAGAGAAUAAAUAAGCUCAAUCAUAUUAGUGAUGCGAAUGAUAACUCAAAAUCCUUUAUUCCAUUCCUGAUUAGUAAUCAACCUUCCCCGGCAACGGCGCCAAAAAUGCUUGUUGGGUAUUCUUAACAUCAUUACCAAAAGUAGACUAAGUUCUCUAAAUCUAGUAACGGUGCUAAAAAUGCCAAACCUAUCCCUCACACCACUUAAGUCAAGUUGUCAUCCCCAGCAUGACAUGAGAGACGCGGUAUUGAAAUAUGCAAUUGCUCUUCUAAAUAUAUAAUGAAUGGGAUCUGCAAGCGCACAGAUUAAUACCGAUGUAGCAUUUUAACCGGGAAGUAUUCCAGGUAUCGUUAUUUAUAUUUUUACCACUGGGAAGGGAUUAACAAUCAUCAAUAUUGAUUACAGAAUAGAAUAUGAGUUUGAGCAUCUAUCAUUGCAUGUAUAAUUGAGAACAUUAUAUCUAACUGUCACAUAAAGGAUAUAUGAAAUAAUGAAUAGUGACAAAGAUAAGUAAUCUGAUCUAGCCACAUAAUAAAUAUGAUAAGCACCUCAAUUAGAUACUCUAGAAAGUCAUUAGCAUGGUAUUAAAAUGAACUACAAGAAUAUGCCCUAAGUUAUUCUCAACUAUAUAGUCUAGCAUUAUCAUAAUUAGUGCAAGCAUACUUAGCAAUCAUUGCGAGACAAGACUACGCCCAUGCAUAGUGAUAUUAGCAAGGUAAAUGAGAAACAUAGCAAUCACUCCCCUGUAAUAAUGUUGCUCUGCCAGCCCAAUACACGAGAGGGGGACUAUAUAAGAAUCAAUGAAGCUGUCACUAUCACGAACUACCCCACGAUCUGGCAUAUUGGGUACAGUCGCAGAUAAAUACGGUAUAAGCACCACGCCUACACAAUAUCUAUCAUUUACCCAUGGAUCCAAUGGAUAAACGCUAUACGAUCCUAAGCAUGUAUAUAGAUCCAAUCUAACUAAGCCAAGUACAUAACUAUGAUAAACUAAGAACAAUAUAAUCUUGAAUAUAAGCAAGUAGAGCAAAGUCAUAAGCAAUAUAUUGAAGUAGAACAAAGUCAUAUUCAUAAUACUGAAGAACAAAGAUAAUUAGAAGAACAAUUAGAAGCACAAUUAGAGAAUUACCAAGAAUCCUCUUGACAGAUCCGGAAACCAAUCGAAGAUUGACUCCUUCUAGUUCUAAUCCUAUGUAGCUAUGCUAAUCUAGAUAUCUAAUUGAUGUGGUGGCUCUAAUCUUGAUCAGAGGCUUCUUCUCCCUUGAAGAAUAAUGAAUUAGGGUUGAGAGGCUCUCUCCUCCAGGGGCCAGGGGGUCUGGUUUUAUAGUCCCUUCAAGUGAAUAUGGGCCGUUGGAUCAAACCGACAUAGAUUGUAUGGUUUAGAUUCAUCCUUUAGGUCGGUGGAGAUCUCCCACGAAGCAGAGUCCUGAUUGGACUCAGGGAGAGGGCGGGCGCCCAGGGGAACAGGGCGGGCGCCCUGCCUCUGGCUCCGUUUCCUCUUCGCUUCGGUCUCGUGGCUUCUGGAGUCUUCUAGAUGUAAGAUAAUUGCGCGGCACGUUAAUAUCUCUAUGUAAUCCCGACGUGUGGGCCUUUCUUCCGUAUUUCCUGAUAACCCCCUGCAGAAAUAGACAAACACCAAAACUCGUGGAAUUCUGUUAGAUAAAACCCUAAGUCUAGAUGUUGAUUUCAUUUGGAUCCUUUUCUUUAUUUAUUUGAUAAUUAAAUUUGAUACUUAAGGACCGUCAACAAAGAGCAAAAACCCUGCUCAUCAAAACAGACUCCCAGGUGGUUGCAGAAUAGGUGGAGAAGGAAUACUUAACACACAACUCCGAGUUAGCAAAAUAUUUGGCAAUGGUGAGGUGUCUGAAGCGAAGGUUCAAGGGAUUCACUCUACAAUACAUUCCAAGAGCUUCUACCAGAAGGAACCUUCUACCAGAUUCUUGAAGCGCCUGCAACUGAAUCGUUACCAAAGGCUUUCCACUCAGUCCUACUCACAGAAGGCGAUGACUGGAGGCAGGCAAUAGCAGAUUCAGUCAAUGGCAAAACAGCCGCAAAAGACGAAGUGGUAACAAAAAGAAUGGAAGCAAGAGCAAGGAAUUACACCAUCAUUGACGAAAACUCAUACAAAAAAGGUGUAGUUCAAUCUUUGCUGAAAUGCAUAUCACAAACUGAGGGCAGAGAACUCCUGGAAGAAAUACAUGCGGAUCACACAUUGGCCCCCAUGCGUUGUUUGCCAAAGCACUGAGACAAGGUUUUUAUUGGCCAAAUCACAUCAAAGAUGCAGAAGAGAUAGUGAAAAUCUGCAGAGCUUGCCAAACCUUCUCACCAGUUCAGUCGGGACCUUUGGCACCAACUCAGCUCAUAUCUCCAUCAUAGCCGUUGCAAAGAUGGGGAAUGGACCUGGUAGGACCACUGCCAACCGCCCAAGGAGGAAACAAAUUCACUGUCGUCGCCAUAGAAUACUUCACAAGAUGGAUCGAAGCGAAGCCACUGGCAUCCAUAACCUCAGAAACAAUAAAGAAAUUUUUCUAGUAGAACAUAGUCUAUGGAUUUGGAGUCCCAAGCUUGCUCAUAGUUGACAAUGGGAAGCAAUUCGAUUCAGACAAAUUCAAAGAGUUUUGCUGUCACAUAGGAACCAAGAUCGCCUUUGCGUCAGUCUACCACCCAGAAUCAAAUGGAGCAGUAGAGAGAGCAAACAAAAUAAUAUUCUCCGUAAUCUCUAAAACACUGCUCAACCUACGAAAGGGAAAAUGGGUCGAGGAGCUGCCAAGAGUUGUGUGGUCUCACAACACAACAGUUUCAAGAGCUACCGGGUUCACACCAUUCAAGCUCUUGUACGGGGAAGAGGCAAUGAUGCCCGAAGAAAUCAAACACCAAAGUCUACGGUCCACGAAGCAGCUGCUGGCCGAAGAUGAAGAGUAUUGUAAGGAAACUCUGGAAUCAACAAGAUUGGAAGCAGUGGAAAAUAUCAUCAAGUACCAGCAAGAAACCAAAAAGUGGAGAGACCACAAGGUAGUACAAAAAACAUACAGAAUGGGGACUUGGUUCUCAAAAAAAAGGGAGAUCACCCAAACACCGGGAAUUUGCAACCCAAGUGCGAAGGACCUUACACAGCAAUACAAGUAGGAAGGUCAGGAUCCUUCUACCUCAAAGACCUAGAAGGAAGAACCUCCACCAACACAUGGAACGUCGACAAUCUAGGAAGAUUUUACAUUUAAAUGUAAGGACGACCCUCGCGGAAUAAGCGAAGGUGCCCAUGUUUUUUAGAUCCACUUCUUUAUUCCUUUUUAUCUACUUUUUUGCAAACCAAGGUCUGUACUCUUUUCCUCACAGGGGUACUCCUAGUGCAUGUGAGGUUUUUAACGAGGCAGAACCUAUGUAAAAACCUCUGAGAUAUAAAGAGGACUUACCCCAGUAACAAAAUUCAAAAGUCAAAAAACAGCUAGCAACGGAGCUGUAGUAUUCGACAAAGCAUCAUGCGAAAACAAAGACCCUCCGUAGCUUACAGCCGAAGGCUAAGGAAGCUCGGAACGUCCUCAAUGGUGAAAAAACACCAAAGCCUUAGCAAAAGACCUAGCCAACAGCCGGGCAGCAAGGAGAACACGGUCAAAAGUGAAAAAAAGCCCUGUCCACAUCAGGCAUCAGAACAUGACCAGAAAUCAAACCUGACAAAGACUUGAAAGGCAAUCAGGCAUCAGGAACCUCCAAACCUCCGCCAAAAAGUGCCAAAGGUAUUACCAAAAGUAUCACAGAGACCUACGCAACCUUCGACGAAAUAUCACCGAAGGUAUCAUAUGACCUGAAGAAGGUCACUACCAAAUAACCUCCACCAAUAAUAUACGAAGGUAGCUCAAAAGCACAAACAAAAUAGACAACAUUGGCAAUCCCAACGACCGCAACAACCAAUCAUAAACCAACAAUAAACCCUAACCUAACAACGUACAACAAAUUAAUGCAAGCAAGCCUAUAAAACCAGGCGCAACAAGACCCCAACCCUCAGUAGGGAUCAGUUCACCAAGAACCAAACAGCCAGUGCAAGCCCAAAGCACACAAAGAAAAACAGCUAGGCCACCAUGGAAGCGGGAGUAAGCCUCAUAGCCACCCAAAAACUUGGUAUUGCACGAAGCUUCGUAAGAUCAGAGCCACGGCAUUGUGAUGAACAACGACCACAGGGUCGUGUACUGCCACAGUAAAAGCACUGGAAGUCAGUAUCGGAGGUUACUGAAGGGUAUCGCACGAAGUCUCGUAACAUCCCCUCGGAACCUCCGACCAAAAAAUACGAAGGUUACCUACGCCAAUGCUUCAUCGGAGCCAAAGAACGGCAAAGAUGAGCACAAUCCAACAAAGGCACCUUCGAAACAAGCUAAUAGAAGGAGCUAAGGUCAAGGAGCAACAAUCCUACGCACAUUAGAGAUCAACCAGCGCCUUCACAACAUUGAGCAGUAAGCAUAAAAUCACAACAGCAACACAAAGAUCCUUAGGGUCAACAACACUACGACGUUGCGGUAUGCUUAGCAAAAGAAUCCGAAGGUUGUAACAAAAAGGGUCACAAUGAGUGCGAAGGUUGUAGUAGAAAAGAGUCAUAAUGAAAAAGUAUUCUUUAUUCAUAUCAGCAAUAUGUACACCAGUUAUUUACAUCAAAAGGGAAGACAAAAAAUCUAACCUAACAUCCUUCGUCAACAAAACUGCCGAAGGAUCUAAGAAUCACGUACAAAUCUCACACAUGAAUCAUCAAAAGUCCUAAACUCACUACAAUAGUCACGAGCGAGAAAAUCAACUAAGUCGUCACCAGUGCGCGUAGGACACAUAUGACGCCACCAAUCCAGCAAGCAACCCCUCGCGUACAUAUCACCAUGUUUGAACGUCACAGGGGUAACAUAACCUCCUUCGACAAAAUUCAGAGGAAGGACAUCACACCUAGGGGGAGACUUGACAACCUACAUCAAAAAGUUAGCAUAAAUAAAAAUCAAGCAAAGGUCCCAAUUAAAACAAGUCUUAAGCUCUCGAACCUUCGUGCGCCCAGGAAGAUAGAGCUCAGCCAUAAGAUCCGGAUCUUUCGGCAGCCAAGACACCCCAUCAUCCUCACCAAAAAUGCGAAGGAUCGGGUGCGAAGGCUGCAAAAAACAAAUCAGAAUAAGUCAGAAAACUAUAUAACCAAAAAAAAUAAAAAAGGGAGAAUGGAACAACCACCUAAGUCAGAGGCCAGGACCCUCGGUACACAAGUGAACGAAGAAACUGAGAUCGUUCGUCGUCAAUAUUAAAUUCGAAAAAGUCAAACAUAUCUACUAUGCUCAUGUUAGGAAAGGCAGUUCGCCAAUAUUCCCAUAAGUCACCCAAAACAUAAAUUCCAUUGAAAAAAAAUGGAAAGCGGAACCUCAUAAGGAUCCUGCGCAGGUCCUCCGCUAGAGACCUGCGCAGGAUAAAGUGUAAAAUAAACAAAUUCAUUCAAGACCAAGUCAAUAUAUUACAUAACCAACAUGUUCUUACAAAUUAAUUAAACCUUCGUCCUUUUUACAAAAAGCGUCACUUAGAAGCAGACGCAAAGACUAAAAAAUCCCUAAAAAACCAAAAAACCCUCACACCUGAGGCGGAGGAGCGUCAACUCCCUCUGGAGCUUUGGUACCAGCUUCAGGAUCCUCGGUGUGGGGCUGGACUGAAGGAUGCGCUCCACUGGAAGGACGUGAAGGACCGGCCUUUUCAACCUUCGUUCUUCUUAGCAAGCUCCUACAAAAGCAAAGUCAUGAUACACAAGAGCGAGAACCACACAGUAUUCAAAGAACAAAAAAACGUACCUCAGCACGGCGAGCCUCUGCCAUCUUCUUCGCCUCAGCCCACCCAAACCUAAUCCAGAACGAACUGAUAAAGUUCCGGACAGACUUGCGUAGGCCGGAGGUAGCUUCGCAAACAUCUUCAGCCGAGGAAAAUCCUUCCUUCGUAACCGCCUUACCAUGAGAGCAACCUCCGCGGUGAAGGAGCCAAGCGAAGGACUUAACCUCCGCCAAAGCCCCAAAAUCAAUAGCUCCACCAACAAAGUCGGGGAGCAUGUUGAUAUGGGACUUCAGCCACGUAAGGCUAACACCAACGUCACCGUCGGUUGGGAGGGCAGCGGUGGAACCUCCGAACUGCGCCAGCGAGCCGGAGUAAAGUCCAAUGACGUUCGCAGCCUCCGCCUCCGCCUUCUGCAGGUGAGUCUACAUCACAGCUACAGACGCGCGCUCAGCAUCAAGCUCCUUGUGAAGGCGGUUGGCGAUGUCAUCAGCUUUCUCGGCCCGCUGGACAGCCAAGUCCCUAGAUCUCCCCACUUCGGAGGCAUUCUUCCGAAGGAUGGCCGCCUCCGCCUCGAUCUCCUCCUUCUCCUUCUUAAGACAGUCAACUCCAACUUUCAGAGCAUCCCUCUCCUUCCUCAAAGCCUCAACCUCCUGUCGGGUCGAAGAAAAGUUCUUAACUUCCUGCGAGCCUUCUCAGAUUCAAGGGUUUCAUUCUCCCUCUUCAAAGCCUCAAUGGCUUCAUUGCGACUAAUCACCUCUCGGGAGCAUCGCUCCUUCAAGGCGGCAGCCAUAUGUGACCCUGAUCAGAACAAUAAAAAAUCAGAACCUCUGAAUGAAAAACGUCCGAAGGAAAAUGAAACAAAAUCCUAACUUACAAGGUUGUGAUGCUCAAACUACACGCGACGCAGCGUGUCGUAGUCCAUAUCGCGAAGCUUCCGCCGGAAACGAUCUGAUGAACAAAAAAUAGUAAGAAAGAAAAAUAAGACAAAAUAAAAAACAUAAUAGACGGAGGCUAGAAAACAGACCUCUGAUGAAAGAAUGAACCUCACGCAGUGCACUAGUCCAACCUGUGAUCAAAAGAUCAGAAGCACCUACGCAAGAUCAAAGCAUGAUCAAAGGCACCCAGGGGUAACUAACUCACUCAAAAAAAUGCCAAUAUACAAUCUCUAAGACUUACCAGGACCAAUAACAUUAGCGGGUGAAGGCCUGCUACCUAGCGCAGAUGGCGCAGGAAAACGAGGCGGAGGAGCAACAAGUCCCUCCUAUGCAAUGCUAGCUCCUCUGGCCAACUCCUCCGCGCUCGCAAUCUCCACGAUAACAUCUUCUAAAGAUGUACGAAGGACAAAAACUCAAACUUUACAAAUAUGCUAAAACAUCAUAAGCAACAAAGUCAAACAACUUACCCAUAUACAGAGAGUUAAUCCCUUCGCCAGUUGGUUGCGGGGGCUCAACCGCCUUCUUUAUCCUUCGGACAGAAGCGGACUCAGCUUCCUCACUAGAGUCAUCCUGCCCUUCAUUCGGCGGCGACGCUCCUCUAGCAGGAACCUCCCACGGAGGACUAGCCCCAGGGGCCUCCGCAUCGAAGGAAUCCUCCCCAAGUAGCGACACGAAGGGCAAGCGGGCGGACGAAACUCCCCGAGAGACUUCACCUUGACGACCGCCAGUACCAACAGUCGUAGGUUCAGCCCACGCUUCCUCCGCAGGCUGAGAUUCCACCGAGUUGGACUCGGCCGCGGAAGAGCGAUCGGAGGAAGACUCAAUUGGAACCUCCACUAUAACCUCCGCCUUCCGUUUCUUCGCCAACGCCUUUGUAGCCCUGCCUCCCCUCCUCUUCCUUGACUCCACAGCAGCAACAUGCUUGGAGGCAUCUUUCCUCUUCUCCAAGCUGAGGAGCAUGUCUGGAGGAACGACGUACUCAUCAUGUUUGAUCCCAAGUUCUUCAAAAACGCGGUUGAACCGUGGCAUUGUCCCCAGCUUAGUCUUCCGCUGGACAUACUCCUUCUCAGAUAUCUUCCCCACUAUCCUACGAGCAGAAGCUUCGACACGAUCGAGGAAGGAUUCCUUGGUUUCGUCCUCCGGCAACCCCCUGUUGAAUUGGGGAAAUGGGAUCCCCUUCGGAGGACCGAAAACAGGCACCUGAACCAUCUCAAUGGUGAACUCCUCGUUCCUGUGGCCAAGAGGCCAGAAGUCAGAGGCCACCAUCUCCUUGACCAAGUCGCGCCCACCUGAAUAGCGGCACGCCAGCGCGAAGGCCUUGUCACAGGCAAUGCGCUCCUCUGUUAUCUCUAACGAAGGAUCAACCUUGUAGAGUGGCUUCAACUCCUUCAUCUUUGAUGUGUAGGGGAAAACAUUUUCCACCUUCCCAUCUUUGGGUGCGUGAAGCCAGGCUUUCAUCCAAUCCUUCUCCCACUUCCCCUUUUGCCAAAAGGAGAUCUCGCAGCGAGCGUCGGGCAUUGUACGCCACGGCAUGAACGUGCAGCUUCCAAACUGUGCGAUGAAUUCCUCUCCUUCAGCAUUCUUCACCUUCUUUGGCUACCAUUGGAGCUCAAAGUAGGAGCAAAAAGUGUCAAUAUGGGGCACAGCUCCGUAGGAUUCGCAAGCCCAUGCAAACUUGCUUAGUGUGAGGAUCCCGUUUGGGCUAAAGUGUUGCAACUCGACAUUGAAAGCCUCCAUCACUUUGCAAAGAAAGGCGUACGGAGGAAUGCAUAGGCCACAGGUAAAGAAAUCCCUGAACACAACGGCAUACUCCUCCUUAGGUGCAGGCACUGUCUGGCCUGCAGGAGGAGCCUUCGCACGACCCUCCUUGAAAAAGCCGACCUCAACCAUGUCCGCUAUAUCCUGCGGCUUGAUAGUGGACUCCCCAAACUCAAAGGUGAUGGCAGCCAUGGAUUCAAAGUCCUUCGCACUUAUCAAAUUCCCAACAGAAGCUUCGACGUCAGAAAGAGUUUCCUCCAGAUCUUGAGCAAUGGCCACCUCAAUCAUCUAGUCUUCAAACCGCCGCAGCCAACCUCCGGAUCUCACACUCAGAAAAUUCUGCAAAGGACCAGAGAAAUCUGCCCUAGAAGGACAGGGCGAAGGAAGAAAAGCCACCGUAGGACCUCCGCAAACACUUAGAAACUAAAUCAAACACCACCUAAUUCCAACUCACUCAGGCAACUCGAAGUCUAAGUCAAAGCUGGCGAAGGAAACUCAGCAGGCGAUGAAAGUCAAGUGUGAGGACGCACAUCUCCCCUGCACCCCCUUUUAUAGGGGGGCUGCAACCUCGCGACUGUUACGAUUCCCGGUUUCCAACGGCUAUAAGCGGAGGACUCGCAGCGACCGUUGCGUUUCCCCACGCCCAACGGCUACCAGCGAAGAAAAACGAAAAUCCAACGGCUACUCGCGCAAAUUUCGCCGCCUAUCAACGACUCCUCGCUCAUCCUUCACUACUCGAUCGAUGGAGGAUAAACCCUCCAAUGACCACAAACGCAAAAAAACACCUAACAUACGAUGGAGGAAACUUGCAAAAAAGCUAGUUGCCUGUUGACGGUCCUUAAGUAUCAAAUUUAAUUAUCAAAUAAAUAAAGAAAAGGAUCCAAAUGAAAUCGAGAUCUAGACUUAGGGUUUUAUCUGACAGAAUUCCACAAGUUUUGGUGUUUGUCUAUUUCUGCAGGGGGUUAUCAGGAAAUAUGGAAGAAAGGCCCACAUGUCUGGAUUACGUAAAGAUAUUAACGUGCUGCGCAAUUAUCUUACAUCUAGAAGACUCCAGAAGCCACGAGACCGAAGCGGAGGCGAAACGGGGCCAGAGACAGGGCGCCCGCCCUGCCCCUGUGUCCAAUCAGGACUCUGCUUUGCGGGAGAUCUCCACCGACCUAAAGGAUGAAUCUAAACCAUACAAUCUAUGUCGGUUUGAUCCAAGGGCCCAUAUUCACUUGGAGGGACUAUAAAACCAGACCCCCUGGCCCCUGGAGGAGAGAGCCUCUCAACCCUAAUUCAUUGUUCCAUUAAGGGAGAAGAAGCCUCUGAUCAAGAUUAGAGCCACCACAUCAAUUAGAUAUCUAGAUUAGCAUAGCUACAUAGGAUUAGAACUAGAAGGAGUCAAUCUUCGAUUGGUUUCCGGAUCUGUCAGGAGGAUUCUUGGUAAUUCUCUAAUUGUGCUUCUAAUUGCUUUCUAAUUAUCUUUGUUCUUCAAUAUUAUGAAUAUGACUUUGUUCUACUUCAAUAUAUUGCUUAUGACUUUGCUCUACUUGCUUAUAUUCAAUAUUAUAUUGUUCUUAGUUUAUCAUAGUUAUGUACUUGGCUUAGUUAGAUACGAUCUAUAUACAUGCUUAGGAUCGUAUAGCGUUUAUCCAUCGGAUCCAUGGGUAAAUGAUAGAUAUUGUGCAGGCGUGGUGCUUAUACCGUAUUUAUCUGCGAUUGUACCCAAUAUGCCAGAUCGUGGGUUGGUUCGUGAUAGUGACAGCUUCAUUGAUUCUUAUAUAGUCCCCCUCUCGUGUAUUGGGCUGGCAGAGCAACAUUAUUACAGGGGAGUGAUUGCUAUGUUUCUCAUAUUCCUUGCUAAUAUCACUAUGCAUGGGCGUAGUCUUGUCUUGCAAUGAUUGCUAAGUAUGCUUGCACUAAUUAUGAUAAUGCUAGACUAUAUAGUUAAGAAUAACUUAGGGAAUAUUCUUGUAGUUCAUUCUAAUACCAUGCUAAUGACUUUCUAGAGUAUCUAAUUGAGGUGCUUAUCAUAUUUAUUAUGUGGCUAGAUCAGAUUAGUUAUCCUUGUCACUAUUAUUAUUUCAUAUAUCUUUUAUGUGACACUUAUCCCUGUAUGAAGAGUUAGAUAUAAUAUUCUCAAUUAUACAUGCAAUGAUAGAUGCUCAAUCUCAUAUUUUAUUCUGUAAUCAUUAGUGAUGAUUUCUAAUCCCUUCCCAGUGGUAAAAAUAUAAAUAACGAUACCUGGAAUACUUCCCGGUUAAAAUGCUACAUCGGUAUUAAUCUGUGCGCUUGCAGAUCCCAUUCAUUAUUUAUUUAGAAGAGCAAUUGCAUAUUUCAAUACCACGUCUCUUAUAUCAUGCUGGGGAUGACAACUUGGCUUAAGUGGUGUGAGGGAUAGGUUUGGCAUUUUUGGCACCGUUGCUAGAUUUAGAACUUCGUCUACUUUUGGUAAUGAUGUUAAGAAUACCCAACAAGCAUUUUUGGCGCCGUUGCCGUGGAAGGUUGAUUACUAAUCAGGAAUGGAAUAAAAGAUUUUGAGUUAUCAUUCGCAUCACUAAUAUGAUUGAGCUUAUCUAUUCUCUCAUACAGUUUUACCCCGAUAUUUUUCUAUUUUAUCUUAUGCAGGGGAAUGUAUGAAUAGAAGACAUCUUCCAGGAAAUUUUGUUGACAAUCCUGAAGCAUUAUUCAAGAAGACGAGAGCCAAGCUAAAGAAAUCAUCAACACUUCAGCAAGAAGCUUCAUCCAAUCAAGAAGAUCACCGGAACUUGUCUUCAGAGUUCGAGGCCACGGCGAACAAAUCAAUCCGCGAGUUCUCAGCUCCCACUACGGACAACAUCCGCACUGGACCUACUGCAGAGAUCGAUGGCAACUUUGAGCUCAAGCCUGGACUUAUCAACAUUGUGCAAUCCAACUAGUUCUUUGGGAAGGCACACGAAGAUGCUAGUGCUCAUUUACAACACUUCCUGGAGAUUUGCAACACAUUCACCAUACAAGGAGUUUCCAAAGAUGCUAUACUACUUCGCCUCUUCCCAUUCUCACUGUUAGGAAGAGCGAAGCAGUGGUUCUACACUACAAAGGAGAAGAAUACUACCUGGGCACUCUGCUCAACAAACUUCCUGGCAAAGUUCUUUCCCAUGGGCAAGACUAAUGCUCUCCGUGGGAAGAUUACAAGUUUUCAGCAACAAAAUGAUGAAUCUAUUCCAGAAGCAUGGGAGCGCUUUCAAGACUACAUCCUAGAAUGUCCCCAUCAUGGAAUGGAGAGUUGGCUAUUGAUGCAGACAUUCUAUCAUGGGCUCAGUAAUAGUGCCCGAGAGACCAUGGAUGCUGCAGCUGGAGGAGCAUUCUUAUCACUUACUAUACCACAAGCCACAGCUCUUGUGGAGAAGAUGGCGUCCAAUCAAAGCUGGAAUGAAGAGAGGACCCAGACACGCAAGAGAGGUGGAGGUAUACAUCAGCUGAAGGAGGUAGACAUGCUGUCUGCAAAGCUAGACCUGCUCAUGAAGAAGCUCGACGAUAGAGCUGGAGACAAGAAAGAAGUUAUGCACAUCUACGACUCUCACAUGAAUUGUGAGGAGUGUGGAGACACUGGACACUCAGGCAACCACUGCCCUGAGAUACUUGAGGAUGUGAACUACAUCAACAACAACAACUACUACUACUACAACCGUCCUCAACAAAAUCAAGGUUGGAAUCAACAGAGGCCUAACUACUCAGGUAAUUAUCAAGGUAACAAUUCUUACAACAACAAUAAUAAUUUUCCACCUUUGAGAGAGUUAGUGUCUAAUCAAGGAAAGCUAAUGGAUAACCUAUCUAAGAAAUUGGCAUCUAAUGAUAAAAUGCUAGAAAAUAUAAAUAAUAGAAUGGAUAAUUUCUCUACUGCCAUCAAAAAUCAAAUUAGCUUUAAUAAAAUGAUUGAAUCUCAGUUAAAUCAAAUAGCUGCUGCUGUUCCUACUACGAACCCCGGUAUACCAUCACAACCGGAAGGAUUAGAAUCUGCAAAUCUUGUAGACAUGUUUGAUGCAGGUAAUUGGAGUAACCCCGUCACUGAAUUUUCUACUGACCGUCUGCCGGUCAAGAGAGGCGAUCCAGGACGCCCCGUCAUCCCGAUCUCCAUCGGCAUGGUGGACUUCCCAGAAGCACUCUGUGACUUUGGCUCCAGUGUCAAUAUUAUACCCAGGGUACUCUAUGAAAAAUUCUUUACAUAUCCUUUACUAGAGACAACCAUGUGUUUGCAGUUUGCAGAUCAGACGAUAACUUUCCCAAAAGGAAUAGUGAGGAACCUUUGUAUCCAAGUUGGUACUUUAUAUGCCCCAGCAGACUUCAUAGUGGUAGAGACCGGAAAUGAGGAGAGAGCACCUAUCAUCCUAGGGAGGCCAUUCUUGAACACCACGGGAGCUAUCAUCUACGCCAGUGCUGCCAAGAUCAGUUUCUACGUCAAAGGGAAGAAGGAGACAUUUUUCUUCAAGAAUAAGACUACACAAAUUCAAGAUCAAUCCAGACGUAAAUCAAGGAAGAGGACCAACAGGAGAAACAGGAACAAGCAAGUAUGGACCGAGUCAGCUAAGAUGGCCACUGCAAUCCAUGGAGGCCAAGAUCAUCAACUUAAGUCACCGUUUUUAACCAAGAAGGACGACCCAGGAAUGCCAAGCAUCUACUGCUCCAUAAAUGGAUAUAACUUCUACAAGACGAUUUGCGACACCGGAUCAGGCGUCAACAUAAUGGCCGCAGUCACUUAUCGGCUCUUGUUCGGGACCAUGCCACUAAGACCAACAUACAUUCAGCUCUAGAUGGCAGAUCAGACAUUUCGAGAAGUUAAAGGAAUAGUAACUAAUGUCCCAGUCAAAAUAGACGAUCACUUUGUCUACACAGACUUUCAAGUUGUUGACAUGGGAGAAGAUGAGUACGAUCCACCCAUCAUCCUUGGAAGACCGUUUCUUAGCACCGUUAAAGCAAUCAUCUACAUUGGAACCGGAGAAGUCCAUAUGCACUUCCCCUCAGAGAAGGUACGCCGUUAUUUUACUGACCCUGACUAUAUCGUUGAAGAAUCUAAGCAGGUCAGAAAGAGACGCAACCGCAACCAGAGGAGGCAGAUCAUCAAGGACGGAUGGGCAGACUAUGAAGGAGAAGUUGUAAGGUCAGAAGACGUUGAAUUUAAACAGAAUUAUCCAGAGGAGAUUGAAGCACCGAGUCAGGUAUGGAAAAUAAAGAUAACUAUACAAGAAGAGGAGGCGCUGCCGGAAGUACCGACUACGCCACCCAACGAACCUCAGGACGAUUAAGAAAUUGGAGAGUCCCGUUCGGAGGACUUAAAAACACCGAACGCUUUGCCAAGAGGUAAACUUGGUAGUUACCCUUUCCCUUUCAGUUAUUUCAAAUAGUUUACUUAGUUAAUCAUAUUCACACUAUCUUAAAAAGAAAAUAAAAAUGUUAAAAACUAUAAGCCCCAUGUGAGUAGACGAGUGGCAUAAAACCCAUAAGUACAUUCACUGUGGUGGCAUAAAAAUAAAAUAAAUAUUUUUCUGCUUUAUAAAACAAAAAUAUAAAAACAGGGAGUAACAUUUAUUAAGGAGUCUCAACAUAAUAAAGGCUAGAUAUUUAAGCUAACACUUAAUCAGUUCCACAAGCUUUGUUGUCUAUUUGAGCUCCACAGAAAUUUAAGAAUCAAGAAGACUGGCAGACGGAGGACAUUCUAAUCGCUGUCAGAAUGCUGCUGACUUUCAAAUACACCUCUACCACCUGCCAGCUACACCAAGAGAAAUUACGUCAAAAUUCAGCUUAGGGGAGAGCACCCCCAUUUAUCACGAUAAGUAUUUCUAUCUAUCUUUAUACUUAUAUUAUUUUAGAAUAUUAAAAUACACAUAAACUAUGGGAAAACCAAAUAAAGAUUCUAUGCUUAUAUAUAUAUCUUUUGCUUAGUGUGUUUAAUAAAUAAAUAAAGUGGCUAUGCUAAUCUGUAUCUAAAUAAAACUUAAGCAUGGAUAUGAUAAAUAGUUGCUCUGCCUAAUUUGCAAAUUUUAAGUUCUCUCUCAAGUUUAGAUAUAACUGUUAUAAUUUAAAGCUUGCUCUAGACCUAAACUUGUGGGAUGAAAACUUGAUCUGAAGUCUAAGUUGUUAACGGAUAUGAUAUGGGAAGGUUGAGCUGCUGUUUAUCUGUUCCUAGAGAAGCUAGAAUUCUGGAGAAUUUUAUCUUUGAAAAUCUUUAAAAUGUUGCAUGAUGAGUUCCUGUAUGAUGAGAGUUUAAAUUCCUACCACAGCCAUAUAUACAUGCUUGCUAGACUUUGAGCCACACAUUUAAUAUUUACUGCUUAUGAGCAUUGAGUGUGGUCAAGCUGUGUAGACCCUUAGGAGCUUGUCAUGUGGUUAAAUCAAGAUUUCACUUGCACGUUCACUCAUAUAUGCUACUUCUACUCCGGAAGUACCAUCCACAUAUAUCCAUUCAUUUCCAUCUCCAGAACCACCUAAAAAUAUUCUACUCCUAAUCCGGGAGAGAAUAGCCAAAAAUAUUUCUAUUUUCCCCUUGUGAAAUAAAUGCUCAAGUUAUCUUGUUACUACCACUUGCUAUAUUAUCUCAAGAGAUGAGUGCUCUAAUAAAAAAAAAUAAUAUACGAGGAAAUAAAAAGGAGCAAGUGCUCAGAACCUCGAAAGAAAAGAAAAGUGAGACGAGAGGUAAAAAUGGACAAGUGUCCGACAGUAGAAUUAGGGGUACAAGAUACCCACCUGAGAGAAAAGAAAAAGAUGAGCAUCUCAUUCUCCUCAUAAAGUUUCAAAAAGCAAGGAAGGUAUGUAUCCCCUCAAAAGAGCAAAAGUAGAAUUAGACUUCCACCACCAUUGUUUUCACCAUUGUUAUCACCAUCAUCACCAUACACCAUUCAUUCGCCACACAUGCACAUCUUGAUUUGGCUUAUUGACUUGUUACUUUGGAUCCAUGGUUUGACUAUGCAAUAAAUGUCUUAUAAGUAUGUAUACUUUAUCUCCCACCUAUGAGCUCCAGAUAUUAAAGCCUUAUUAGAGUAGGAUGAGAGAGAAGGCAAUGUCAUUAUGCUUUAUACCAUAAAUACUACAUAUCUUGAGAGAAGGCAUAUACCAUCACUGCCUUGGUAAGGAUCCAAAAAUACCACAAAAGAGAGACCUGAGAGAAUCAUAAAAGGAAACUCUGAGUUUUAUUUAAAAAUCUGCAAAAAAACCCCAGAGCUAUAGCUGAUCAAGAAUAAGAGACAUGGCACUUGGCUAGACUGUUCUAUCUUUUAACCACUCAAGACAGAAGUGACAGUUACAAGUCCCAUGGUGAAGGUAAAGUAAGUAAUUUUUAAGUCUUGAUAGUUUACUCUAACUCAGAGAUGAGAUCUUAUUUAAAAGCAUGUGAACCGUCAAAUUUUUUAAAGAUAUUGCAACUACUUAAGAUCCAUAGCUGAGUCUAUCCUUGCUCAGGGACGAGCAAGAGGUAAGCUUGGGGGAGUUUGUUGACGGUCCUUAAGUAUCAAAUUUAAUUAUCAAAUAAAUAAAGAAAAGGAUCCAAAUGAAAUCAAGAUCUAGACUUAGGGUUUUAUCUGACAGAAUUCCACGAGUUUUGGUGUUUGUCUAUUUCUGUAGGGGGUUAUCAGGAAAUAUGGAAGAAAGGCCCACAUGUCUGGAUUACGUAAAGAUAUUAACGUGCUGCGCAAUUAUCUUACAUCUAUAAGACUCCAGAAGCCACGAGACCGAAGCGGAGGCGAAACGGGGCCAGAGACAGGGCGCCCGCCCUGUCCUACUGGGCGCCUGCCCUGCCCCUGUGUCCAAUCAGGACUCUGCUUUGCGGGAGAUCUCCACCGACCUAAAGGAUGAAUCUAAACCAUACAAUCUAUGUCGGUUUGAUCCAAGGGCCCAUAUUCACUUGGAGGGACUAUAAAACCAGACCCCCUAGCCCCUGGAGGAGAGAGCCUCUCAACCCUAAUUCAUUGUUCCAUCAAGGGAGAAGAAGCCUCUGAUCAAGAUUAGAGCCACCACAUCAAUUAGAUAUCUAGAUUAGCAUAGCUACAUAGGAUUAGAACUAGAAGGAGUCAAUCUUCGAUUGGUUUCCGGAUCUGUCAGGAGGAUUCUUGGUAAUUCUCUAAUUGUGCUUCUAAUUGCUUUCUAAUUAUCUUUGUUCUUCAAUAUUAUGAAUAUGACUUUGUUCUACUUCAAUAUAUUGCUUAUGACUUUGCUCUACUUGCUUAUAUUCAAGAUUAUAUUGUUCUUAGUUUAUCAUAGUUAUGUACUUAGCUUAGUUAGAUACGAUCUAUAUACAUGCUUAGGAUCGUAUAGCGUUUAUCCAUCGGAUCCAUGGGUAAAUGAUAGAUAUUGUGUAGGCGUGGUGCUUAUACCGUAUUUAUCUACGAUUGUACCCAAUAUGCCAGAUCGUGGGGUGGUUCGUGAUAGUGACAGCUUCAUUGAUUCUUAUAUAGUCCCCCUCUCGUGUAUUGGGCUGGCAGAGCAACAUUAUUACAGGGGAGUGAUUGCUAUGUUUCUCAUAUUCCUUGCUAAUAUCACUAUGCAUGGGCGUAGUCUUGUCUUGCAAUGAUUGCUAAGUAUGCUUGCACUAAUUAUGAUAAUGCUAGACUAUAUAGUUAAGAAUAACUUAGGGAAUAUUCUUGUAGUUCGUUCUAAUACCAUGCUAAUGACUUUCUAGAGUAUCUAAUUGAGGUGCUUAUCAUAUUUAUUAUGUGGCUAGAUCAGAUUAGUUAUCCUUGUCACUAUUAUUAUUUCAUAUAUCUUUUAUGUGACACUUAUCCCUGUAUGAAGAGUUAGAUAUAAUGUUCUCAAUUAUACAUGCAAUGAUAGAUGCUCAAUCUCAUAUUUUAUUCUGUAAUCAUUAGUGAUGAUUUCUAAUCCCUUCCCAGUGGUAAAAAUAUAAAUAACGAUACCUGGAAUACUUCCCGGUUAAAAUGCUACAUCGGUAUUAAUCUGUGCGCUUGCAGAUCCCAUUCAUUAUUUAUUUAGAAGAGCAAUUGCAUAUUUCAAUACCACGUCUCUUAUAUCAUGCUGGGGAUGACAACUUGGCUUAAGUGGUGUGAGGGAUAGGUUUGGCAUUUUUGGCACCGUUGCUAGAUUUAGAACUUAGUCUACUUUUGGUAAUGAUAUUAAGAAUACCCAACAUUGCCGCAAUAACAAAACAAAAUUUGUGAAGAUCAAACAAAAAACGGAGGAUAUCAAAAACUUAAGCAAACUAAGAGAAUUUAUGACUGAGCACAAGACAAAAAACUUUUUCAAGCAGCCAAAAAACACAUCCUGCGCACCAGGGGCGAAAGCAGCAACCAUGCUCACAGCCUCCGCAGCGUGGCACGUUUUGAGCAUAUGGCCCGCAGGAGUGCCAUUAGCCCAAACAGGGGGGAACUGUUGGGGGCUGGAUGCUUCCUUCCCCCUGGUUACUUCGAAGGAUCUCCUCUGCACGGGGAGCCUUCGUACGAAGCAGUGCAAAGGUUCCGGGCAAGACUAAUGUUCACGCAUUCCUUGUGGUACCGACUGAAUGCAGGGACCAAGUCAGUGGCGGAGGUAGCGAGAAGAGAAGGAAGGAACCUUCGAUCUCCCCACGAUGAAGGAUGGCCGAAGGCAAUACGGAGGACGCAGCAGGACCGACAAGCCUUCGGAACACCCGGGUGUUGACACUUGCUAACACCACUUGAAUACUAGGUUGUCAUCCCCAGCAUGGCACUAGAGUGUACUAUGGUAUUUAUACGCACACAGAUAAUCCGCAAGCGCACGGAUACCGUUAAAGCUUUUACCCGGUUAAAGGUUUUAUCGUAUCCACAGGGAAACGGGAGAACUGAUCUACGCUCUAACUUAACCAAGAUAGAUAGAUAAGUGUAAAUAGGAAAGAUGGUAGAAUUGAAUAAGAACAAUAUUAAAGGUAAGAUAACAGUGAGUGAUAAUAUGGGAAUAGAGAAUAGAGCAAUUCUAGUAUAUGGGCGAUGGUAGCAGAAUAGAGAGGAUAACUAUGGUUUCUCUACUUAAAAGGGGUAUGUCUAUGUCUGGGACGAACCACAUGAUAAGAGUACACCACAAAGGAUGCUUAUCCAUAGGCUGAUAAACCCUACCCGUCCUGCUAACGAGAGGUGGACUACAGAGGACCAACGUAACUGUCACCUACGCGGCCUACCACACGAUCCAGCUAGACAGGGGAUAUCCACAAGUAAUCUAGAUCUAAGCACCUCGCUUACACCUAUACUACAACUCUCACCUAUAGCGUCCUAUAGAUUAGAAUACUCAAAAGAGUUGUGAACCAGAACAUACAUAAUUAGUAAUUGCAUAAUGAAUUAGAAGUAGAUUACCAGAGUUAUCCCAUGAGCAAGCUUGAUUAGAGCUUGAUCAUGACGAAGUACAACCGGAGGAAGAACCGACAGGCCGGCCUCUCCUCUAAUCCUCCUUCGCUCUCCAUCUUGCUACUAUCUAGAUCUACUCUAGUUUAGAGAAGAGAGGAGAGCUCUCAUCUCUAAACCCUAGCUUUUGCUCUGUCUAUGAAUAAUGAAUAAUGAUCAAGGGGUGCCUCCUCCAGGGGCCAGGGGGUCUGGUUAUAUAGUCUUUUCAGAUGAAUCUGAGCCGUCGGAUCAAACCGACAUUGAUUGAAUGGUUAUUCUUGAUGUAUUAGGUCGGUGGAGCAUGAUCCGCGAAGUUGAAGCUGAUUGGUUACUGUAGCUGGGCGGGCACCCAAGGGACUUGGGCGGGCGCCCUGCCCCGGGGCCCGAUCGGCCUCCCGUUCGUUCCCGUGGCUUCUGGAGUCUUCUAGAUGGUAGAAAAUUGCGCGGCACGUUAAUAUCUCUAUGUAAACCCGACGUGUGGGCCUUUCUUUCAUAUUUCCUGAUAACCCCCUGCAGAAAUAGACAAACACCAAAACUCAUGGAAUUCUGUCAGAUAAAACCCUAAGUCUAGAUGUUGAUUUCAUUUGGAUCCUUUUCUUUGUUUAUUUGAUAAUUAAAUUUGAUACUUAAGGACCGUCAACAAACUCCCCCAAGCUUACCUCUUGCUCGUCCCUAAGCAAGGAUAGACUCAGCAAUGGAUCAGAAGUUGUUGCAAUAUCUUAAAAAUUUGAUGGUACACAUGCUUUUAAAUAAGAUCUCAUCUCUGAGUUAGAGUAAACUGUCAAGAACUAAAACUUACUUACUUUACCUUUCACCAUGGGACUUGUAACCUUCACUUCUGUCUUGAGUAGUUAAAAGAUAGAACAAUCUAGCCAAGUGCCAUGUCUCUUAUUCUUGAUCAGCUAUAGCUCUGGAGUUUUUUGCAGAUUUUCAAAUAAAACUCAGAUAUUCCUUGUAUGACUAUCUAAAUCUCUCUUUUGUGGUAUUUCUGGAUCCUUACCAAGGCAGUGAUGGUAUAUGCCUUCUCUCAAGAUAUGUGGUAUUUGUGGUAUAAGGCAUAGUGACAUUGCCUUCUCUCUCACCCUACUCUAAAUAGGCUUUAAUAUCUAGAGCUCAUAGGUGGGAGACAGCUAAUACAUACUUAAAAGACAUUUAUUGCAUAGUCAAACCGUGGAUCCAGAGAAACAAGUCAAUAAGUCAAAUCAAGAUGUGCAUGUGUGGCGAAUGAAUGGUGUAUGGUGAUGAUGGUGAUAACAAUGGUGGAAGUCUAAUUCUACUUUUGCUCUUUUGAGGGGAUACAUACCUUCCUUGCUUUUUGAAACUUUAUGAGGAGAAUGAGAUGCUCUUCUUUUUCUUUCCUCUCAGGUGGGUAUCUUGUACCCCUAAUUCUACUGUCGAACACCUGUCCAUUUUUACCUCUCGUCUCACUUUUUCUUUUCUUUCGAGGUUCCGGGCACUUGCCGCUUUUUAUUUCCUCGUUUAUUUAUUAUUAUUUUUUCUUUUCUUCUCUUUUUUUCAGAGCACUCAUCUCUUGAGAUAAUAUAGCAAGUGGUAGUAGCAAGAUAACUUGAGCAUUUAUUUCACAAGGGAAAACAGAAAUAUUUUUGGCUAUUCUCUCCCGGAUUAGAAGUAGAAUAUUUUUGGGUGGUUCUGGAGAUGGACAUGGAUGGAUAUAUGUGGAUGGUACUUCCGGAGUAGAAGUAGCAUAUAUGAGUGAACGUGCAAGUGAAUCUUGAUUUUAACCACAUGACAAGCUCCUAAGGGUCUACACAGCUUGACCAGACUCAAUGCUCAUAAGCAGUAAAUAGUAAAUGUGUGGCUCAAAGUCUAGCAAGCAUGUAUAUAUGGCUGUGGUAGGAAUUUAAACUCUCAUCAUAUAGGAACUCAUCAUGCAAUAUUUUAAAGAUUUUUCAAACAUAAAAUUCUCCAGAAUUCUAGCAUCUCUAGGAAUAGAUAAACAGCAGCUCAACCUUCCCAUAUCAUAUCCGUUAACAACUUAGAUUUCAGAUCAAGUUUUCAUCCCACAAGUUUAGAUCUAGAGCAAGCUUUAAAUUAUAACAGUUAUGUCUAAACUUGAGAGAGAACUUCAAAUUUGCAAAUUAGGCAGAGCAACUAUUCAUCAUAUCCAUGCUAGAGUUUUAUUAUUAAUAUUCAGAUUAGCAUAGCCACUUUAUUUAUUUAUUAAAUACACUAAGCAAAAGAUAUAUAUAAGCACAAAAUCUGUAUUCGGUUUUUUCAUAGUUUAUGUAUUUUAAUAUUCUAAUAUAGUAUAAGUAUAAAGAUUGGUAGAAAUACUUAGCGAGAUAAAUGGGGGUGCUCUCCUCUAAGCUGAAUUUUGACGUAAUUUCUCUUGAUGUAGCUAGCAGGUGGCAGAGGUGUAUUUGAAAGUCAGCAGCAUUCUGACAGCGAUUAGAGUGUCCUCCGUCUGCUAGUCUUCUUGAUUCUUAAAUUCUGUGGAGCUCAAAUAGACAACAAAGCUUGUGGAACUAAUUAAGUGUUAGCAUAAUAUCUAGCCUUUAUCAUGUUGAGAUUCCUCAAUAAAUAUUACUUCCUGUUUUUAUAUUUUUAUUUUAUAAAGCAGAAAAGAAAUAUUUAUUUUUAUGCCACCACAGUGAAGGUACUUAUGGGUUUUAUGCCACUCGUAUACUCACAUGGGGCUUAGUAUUUUUUAACAUUUUUAUUUUCUUUUCAAGAUAGCAUGAUUAACUAAUAAUCUAUUUAAGGAAAGUAAAUAAUUAAAGGGAAAAGGGAAUACAGAAAGGAUAAAUAUGGAUAACUACCGAUCUUACCUUUCGGCGAGGGUUCAAUGUUUUAAGUCUUCUUGUCAAGACUUCUCAUCGUGUUCAUUCUUUAGGUGCGUCAUUUGAUUCAGGUGCGGACCUUGACGUCUGCACCUCUUGAUACGGUGUCACCGAUGUUCUUCGUUUGCCCAGCUGUUCGAAGUGCGGCGUUGGCAGUAUCCUGCUCAGUGUGUUUGUGCUCAUAGAUCCAGGUCCUUCACUUGGUAGAGUCUGAGAGUUAUAAAACUCCUCCGUGUUUUGCUCGAAGUGUACCUGCUCAUAGAGACAAGGCAGAGAUCAAGUGCAUGGGUCUUGUUGGUGGAAAACACCAACAGAACCUAAAGUGUAUUUGUUCUUCUCUAACCCUAAGCAUAGUGAGCA
rnacentral:lncRNA from 1 species